rnacentral:lncRNA from 1 species
UAUAAACCAUGAAAUUUAUUUUACUACUUAUAUAAAGAUAAAAGCAUAUAUAACUUAUCUGAGUUACGGACUAUUUUGAGUUGACUUAUCAAAUCUUUCAACAUUUUGAUUUUACCUUCCAACCUUUCAAUUUGUUUAAUAUGAGUAAGUCAAUUAACAUUACUUUGACUUUAAAAUUUAAAUGCGUCAUUUAUCUUUACAAAUUUAGCUAGUAUAAAUCAUACAAUUUCACAACUAUAAAUUCAUUAAAAUAGAUAAUUAACUUAAAUUUUAAAGUCAAGAACAAAUACAUUGAAAAGCUAGAUAGUAAAAUCAAAAAAUUUUAAAAAUUAGAUAGUCAAAUUAAAGUAAUCUAUAAUUCAGAUAAGUUUUAUACGUUUUUAUCUAGAAAUUAUCAAUGUUUUAAGGAUCGGAUCGAAUAGCAAUUCGAAAAUAUUAUUGGGUCAAGAGUCACUACUUCGACAAAUGGAUCAUGUCACCGCAACAUCAUAAAUAUUUAUUUAUUAUUUUCAAAUUUUAUUAUGUUAAAAAAUAUUCAUAUAUUAGUGAUUCUACUAUCAUACUUAAUUAUAAAUUAUUAAUUUUUAAACUAAAUUAAGUAAAUAUAAGUUUUCAAGUUUUAAUUUUUGGAAUACUAAUCUGUGCUAAAAGAAAAUAAAAUCAGCCAUUGGAUUUUAACCGGAUCACCAAUUUGACAGUUGAACUGUCCAUUCAGAUUGUUUAAAAUAAUUUUUUAACUUAUUCGAUUUAGAGAGUUGAACUGAACUGCUUUAUGAAUUCGAUCACGUUCAGAUAAGUACAAUCGACUAAUUUCACCCGAUUUUUAAAUUAUUAUUAGAAAUUAUAAAUUAGCGGCGCACAUCCGCCCGCCUCCUCAAGUGGAGAGAGCUCACAGUGAUGGAAUGCAGCAAGCAGUUGCGCCGUCGUCUUUUCAAGUGUUGACGGGCGACCAUCCGCCAUUAAUUAUUCGGCUCAUCCGGGCUGGACCACUGGUUGGUGCAACGUUGGCCGGUAGGAACCUACUGCUUGGACAGGGCUCACCAUGUCAUCCAUAGACCACACUUUUUUUUUAUUUUUCCUUCCUUUUAAUCUGUUCUCUGUAAUCACAUAACUUUUCAUUCCAAAAUACGAAUGUACGCACACUCUGAAACCUACAUUAAAAAGUUUGGAAAUUAAAUCUCCGAAGAUACGAGCACAUGGAGGUCAAACUCUCGACCUCUACGAUAUCUACUAUGUACACACUGACGGCAAAUAUAUUUUUUAAAUAGUCCGUGCUCCGCCUUAUAUUUAUGCUAUUUGUUCGAUAGAAAGUCAUUAAAUUUAGAAAUAAAAUUAUUCGACUUAUUAGAAUUUUUCAUAUUAGCAUAUAAGAAGAUAAAAAAUAUUACAACCGCUAACUUUUAUUACUUUUUUAAUUUUGCAAUUAAUUUCGAUAUUAUUCAGGACGAAAUCAGCUAUGGCUCUUAAAAUAGUAGAGUUAUACACGCCAAACAAAGAACAAAAUUUAAUAUUUAUGACCGAAAAAUUACUUCAUUUUUUUUUUUUCUAUUUGUGCACACAUUCUUAUGGAAUAGAGUGCCUCCGCAUGGCUGUCCGGUCCAUGGAGAACGUGGUGGACCAGAUUCAGGCAACAACUUCACGUUCAUGGGUGGUUGGGUGAUCCCAAUUGGAGCUGGUGUUUUCACUACCUGCCGUAUCCGUGUGGAGCCCACUCGUCACGCUGUCGGAUCCUUUCCCGCCCAAGUGGAGUACAUUUGAAAAAGAAUUUUUUACAAAAUAACUCCCUAAAAUUUCAUAUAUAAUUUACAAAAGCGGCAAUUUCAUAAUUUACAAAAAGGGCAAUUUACAAAUAGCCUAUCAAAAUUAUAUUUGAAAAAUUAAUCCUUUUUCGCCACAUAGGCGCGUGGGUGGUUCUAUAAAAACGAUGAAUCAUUCUUCGUCUUUCACUUAUUUACUAUUUCUUUCUAUAUCUCAUAUAUAAUACUAACAACCAUAUAAAAAUUUUAACAAAUCAUAUAUAAUCUUAAUAACCUGAAAAUUUUAAUAAUUUAUUCAUAUAAUUUUAUAUAAUCUUAACAUCUUAAAAAUUCUAAUAAUUUAUUCAUACAAUUUUAUAUAAUCUUAACAGUUUGAAAAUCCUAAUAAUCUAUNUCUUAAAAAUUCUAAUAAUUUAUUCAUACAAUUUUAUAUAAUCUUAACAGUUUGAAAAUCCUAAUAAUCUAUUCAUACAAUUUCGUAUAAUCUUAGCAACCCGAAAAUUCUAAUAAUCUAUCCAUACAAUCUUAACAAUCAAAUAAAAAUUCUAAUAAUCCACGUAUAGUUCUAACAACCUCACUUUUUUCUAUUUAUCGCCUUUAAAAGAAAUAGGAGAAUGCGGUGAACGAUGGGAGAAUGCAGGGAACAAUUUACUACGUUUAAAAGAUAUAAGAGAACGCGGUAAACGAUUCAUCGCAUUUAGAAAAAAAACCCACGUGGCUCCUACGUCGCGAAUAGAGGGUUAGUUUACUAAAUAUAAAUUUGGCAGGAUUAUUUCACAAAUAAUAAAAUUUUGGAGAGUUAUUUUAUAAAAAAAAGUCUUUUGGAAAACCUUUAUUAAUUAUAUAUAAACUUAAAAUAAAAUUUUAUACAUUUUUAUAAAUUUUAUGAAAAUAAUUCUUUAACCCGCUAAAAAUUCUAAUAUUUUAAUUUAAUAGCUAUUUUAUCCUUAAGUCUUAGUCCACUGUGAUUCGUAAGGAACUACAGUUUUCAUAUCGUAUAAUAAUGAGAACAGUAGUGAUUGGAGUGAUAGUAAAGCGCAAAUUGAAGGAAAGCAGACGAGAGUAGUUGAUAGAGAAAUCAGUAGGUAUGGAGACCCAAAAUUUUAUCGAAACCUGUACGGAGCGGUUUUAUUCGAUACUAAAUAGAUACAAUUUCAAUUACAGAUAUAAAAAAUAAAAAUCAACGAAUUUCAAGUUCAGGUAUGGGUUUUGUCUAUACCCAAUCCGAACCCAUACCUGAAUAGAUUUUACAUUAUAUAACAUGUGAAAAAAAAUAUUUUUUUUUAACUAUUGGAUCUUCAUUCAAUGAUAAAUAAUGAUUAUUUUACUAGUCAAAUCCUAAUAGAUCUCCAAUCCGGUCGGUAGGCCGUUUUAAAUCUCCCAUUGUUCUUCUCCUCCCUCAGUUUUUACUGGCAUACCCAAAGAAGGUGUAGUGCUUCUUCUUUCGACCCUUCCCAGAAAUCCUAACGACCUCAUCAAGCGGUUUGCAUCCUUUGGUAAAUCGUUUGCUUCUUCAUCCUCUUUUGCCUUUCCCUUAUCGUCGUUGACCGCACCACCACCACCACCCCCUCAUUUUCACUUCUUGCCGUUUGAGCUCUCCCUCUCCCUUGCCCUCUCCAUCUUUUCUUUGUCGUCGUCAUUCACAUGAAGAUACUUCUUACUUUUCUCUUUUCUCUUAGUCGCUUUGCACUCAUUGUCGCCGGCUCUUGCUAUGAUCACUUCGGCUCAUGUUUGCCUUCUUUGUUGCUGGUAGAGACAUAGGUGAAGUCGGUUUAGGUUUUCGAAUUUGGGCUUGGGCUUAGAUUUGGGUUUGGGUUUGGGUUUCGAAUUUUUGUUCGGGUUUGGUUUUGAAUAUAUUGGGGUGAAAAUGGUUAAAUACUGUUGGAUAUUUGAUGAGAAACCAUAUACGCAUCUGUAUUUUUCCAAGUGCAAAUUUGGAUAUAGAUAUGCGUUGGAUGCUAAAUCUUUAUUAUCUAUCCAUUAAAGACAUAUUAGGAUAUGAUUGGAUAUUUUUUUGGACUCGCAUACGAAUCAGAUUUAUAUUCAAAUAUUAUUUGGAUAAUUAUAUACACUAAUAUGGAUAUAUAAAUAUGAACUAGAAUUAUGUCACAUCCGGUCUCCAGCAAAAGCACGUCCAACGUGUGCACAGACCCGCUGUGUACACCAAGCACCCCCUGAUGCACACAAGGUGUCUAAAACAACUAAAGAAAGAAGUAGGAAUAAAUCCUAAACAAGAUGAUGAGAGCAAAAGUAUAUAAUUCUACGACAUAAACAAGUCUAAUACAAAAACACAUUCACAAGAUGUAAAAUAAGUUGAACAAAAGGUACAUCUUGAAUGCUAGAAAAUCUUUAAAUAAAAUACAAUUAUAUAUACUUCAAACUAAACCAAAAGAAUGAUGUCAAUGGGUCCAUCUAUAGCAACACCGAAGAGGCUCUAGCUAGUCGCUAACCCCUUACCACGAUCCCUAGCCUCUCCUGUUGAGAAAGGCUCUAAAACAAAAAUAAGCAACCAAUGGGGGUGAGAACUAUUAAACAAUAAUUUUCAGUGGAUAAGCCGCCAAGAGUAGCGAAAUACAUUAUUAGGUUAACUCAGGCAAUAACAAUAUGUAAUAGAAAAACAAAGCACAUAGAUAAUAUUUAAAAUGAAAUGGUUUAAAUACAGUUAUGCCUCUACGUGACAAUGUCUACUAAUAUGGAUGUGGUUCUCUCGCUGUCAUAUUGUACAAGUAUAAAUAUACAAGUUUACAUGUAUGUCCAUCUUUAUGCUAAGAGCAAUAGUUAAAGACAUUUUUUUUAUUUUUCAUAUAGCUACACUACUAUACUGAUCAAUAUGUGUAUAGAUUUACUACUAUUAAGUUUGCCAAUAAAUAAUAACCAACUUGAAUGUCCAUCUACUAUGUAGGCAUCAACUAGUUCUGAUGUACAAUGUCACAAAGUAAUAAUCAACUUGAAUGUCCAUCUAUUAUAUACGCAUCAACUAGUUGUGAUGUAUAAUGUCAUAUUUAUUUAACUUUUAUCCAAUCAACAAGGGACUUACGCAUGGUAACAUCCUAGCUUGUGCCGUACCUAAUGGUCCUGUGGUAGUCAACAUUUUUCCUCUAGAAAUGAGUCUUGCAAACGGCAUUCCAUUUCGGUGCCCAAUCCCGCAGGGGCGAUUAGUCGUUGCAAAGGGUAAUUCCGGAGUGCCGACUUGUAGGGAGCGACCCUUCCAAGCUUGUAUGAAUGAGUACAAAGGUAAGUAAGCGUGAUCAUAUGCGUCAUGUCCAAGGCUAUAGGUUUCGAUCAUUACGUUUAAAAUAUGGAAUCUCAAUCAUCGUGUAAUAUACCGAAACUUUGGUAGGUUAUAUCGGACUUUAGUCAAAUUGACCAAAGUGCGUCGAGAGAAAUGGUUGGACGAAGUCCAUUUCAUAUUCCAACAAUGUUGGAAGGGUUAAAGUUGAGUUCCAAGUGUGAUAGAAAGAUUUUAGCAUUGCUCGAUGCGAAAAGGAACCGAGCACUCCCAAAACUAUAAUCUGGGCACUGCUUAACCGGUGAAGCACCAGGGCAGUACCGGUACCAGGCAGGCCACCCGAAAAGGCAGCUCUCGGGUUUGGUCACUACGCUACGGCGUACCGGUGACGGCCCCGAUGCGUACCGGUACCCCGCAGCAACUCGAGAACAGCAGCUCUCGGGUUUGGCCUGUUGAACAGAAGCGUACCGGUGACGCCCACCCACGUACUGGUACGCAGUGCUGCGAACAGCAGGGUGAGUCUACAGCAAAUAAAAUUGUUUGGAAGGUUUAUUUGCUAUUAUGGCAGUAUAUAAAAAUACCCCAACCUCUCCUCUCUCAUUCACAGCAGUGAGAACACCUUCCUCUCUCAUUUCUCUCCCUCUCUCUCUCUAGGAACUCUCUUAAAGGUGGAUCAAGAGGAGAUUUGAAGGUGGAUUUGGUGGAGAAAAAGGCAAAGGAGUGAAGCUAUCUCUUCUUCUUCUUCUUUAGCUCAAGGAAAGGAAAGCUCUUGAGGUAAGCUCCAUGAGCUCUCAUGGUAGAUAUCUAGGGUUUGGUUUAAAUGCCCUAGAAAUAAUUUUAGAUGGAUCUCUAGAUGAUUUUAAGCUUGUUUUUGCUUAUCUCCAAGAUCCAUUUGGUGCUUAUGCUUUAGGACAUUGUCAGGGCACCAAAAUUGGAGCUUUUGUUCUAGAUGGGUUUUAAUGUAAAUUGACCUUGUAGAAACCUAAUUGAAGGUAUUUCCGACGCGUUGGUGGACUCGGUUCGAAGAUCCAACGAGUCUACGCAUAAAACCUCAUUUCGACUUCGUUUGCCGUAGUCGGAAGAAAUAAACACCCAAAAAUCACGAAAAUUGAACCGUAGCACCUUAGCAACCAUACGAGGUGGGUGGUGCUUUUCGAAAUCCUCGAAUGUGUAUAUUGGGCUUCAUGCAUUGUAGGGUAAGUUGAGCAUAUAUUGGUUGUAUGUUUUUAAUGUUUUUAAUGCUAGUGCAUAUGAAAUGUUGUGAACUAUAGAAAACUUGUAAAAUCUUAUGUAUGCAUGAAUGAUGACAAGAAUAUAGAUGAGGCAAAGAAUCUAGUGCAUUAAAGAACAAGUGACAUUAUGACAUAAAUGAUUGAGUGUUGAAAGUGUGGCAUUAGUGAAUAUAUAUUGAAUGCUAAAGAUGAACACCUAGUGUGUGGCAUUAAAGAGUCAAGAAUACUAGUGUACAAGUGUGGCAUUAACAAGAACAAUAAAUGCAAGAAAAUGAGACACUAGAUGUGUGGCAUGAGUAAGAACAUAGAAUGCAAGAAAUUGAGAUAGUUGACAUUAUGACACAACGUGGCAUAACAUCCUUAUAGUUAAGGGUCAAAUAAGCAUUGCAUCCUUACAGUUAAGGAAAGAAUUGAACUUGAAAAUCCUUAUAGUUAAGGAUUGGAUCAUACUCGCCAAGUUUUGGCUUGAGGGCAGUCGCACCCCUCGAGCGAUGAGCUCCGAGUAGUCAUCAUUGGGUCGUAGUAGUCUCCCCCGAAGACGGUCCCAUCGGGUAGUAGUAGUCUCCCCGAUGCUUGGGAUUAUGAGUUGGUGAGUUGUAGGCAAACCUACGGGUUAGCCAUGAGAUUGGGUAUUGAAAAUGUGAUCUUGCAUGCAUCAUGAGCAUUCUAUUUGAGCAUCAUUGUUGAUUAUAUCUUGUUCAGACAUAUUAGAUGUAUUUGUAUAGUUUGGUUACUAUCUAUCUGUUUAUUCUUCUAUUAUGCCUGAUUUAGACCUAGUGAGAAAGUCGGCGAGGUCGGCGGCCGAACUCACUGGAAACUUUGUUGUAGUUCUCACCCCACUAUUUUUCAUAGCUAGGACCGAGUGAGCCGGCCGACGAUCGCGGUAAAGGUAUCGCGCCAUAGACAGUGACCACCCGAGAUGGUUUUAUACAUGUACCCUCUUUAUAUCAUCUUCUGUAUUUGAUGAUCAUAGAUGUUAAAUGUAAAAGCUUAUUUUGGAGAUCAUGUGAUAUAAAAGAAUUGAUGAAUAGAAUGUAAAAGAAUUUAAAAUUUGAAUGCAUAUAUGUGUGUGGUUAAAAGUUAAUCAUAGUACUUGUAUGGAUGUUUAGUUUAGAAUAUUUUACUUUUGGCUACUGCUUGCCCUCGUGCAAGCCAUGUAUGGAUAUUUUCCCUUGUGCAAUCUAUAUAAUUGAUUUGAACUUGUGUUGAGCCUUGGGCGGACAGGGGAGAUACUGUCCAUUCAGCGUCUGUUCGACGUGCCCGAACCGACCAAAUAGGCCGGUCUCGGGGCGUGACACAUCGACUCAAGGAUCUGGUACUAUAACAUAUAUGUUACAAUCCUGUUUUCAAUCAAUGUGGGAAUGCAUCACCUACCAAUAUGCAACAUGUUUCAAGUAUGUGAAGGUUUACAACUCUUUAUCUCUCAUGCAUAAUCAUGGGGGGUUACAAGUGUAUACUAUUUUCUCUAUAGUAUGUAAGAUAACAAUUUACUAACGCCAUAUUCAAAGAAUACGAGGAUGUCAACCAAGUUCAUAUUUCAUGUUAGACAUGUGCCUUACUAUAUGAGCCUCUACCAUAUAGAAAAGAAAGUUUAUUAUGCAAGCAAUUACUUUUCAUUUGACUAAGCAAUUUUAUACAUUUGCCAUUCAUGUCUUCUUAAUCAAGUCGUUUCAUUGAGCUUGUGAUGUUAAAUGCACUUGAUAGCCCAACUAUAAACAUACCUAUAGUAUGCAUGAGGGUAAUAUAUCCAAUUACUAGAACAAAUAUAGAGGAUAGGUUCCCAAACAACUCAUAUGUUAUAUGACAUGGAUGCAUUUUAUCUCAUAUAACUCUACUACAUAGAGCGUAUAAAUUUUCAUGUGAAGUAUAACCAAAUCAUAUGCUCAAAAAUUCAAUAAUGCUAUAAGGUGCACAGUAAACUCUUUAUUAAGUUCUAUAACAUAAUAGGAGACAUAGAGGGAGUUCACCCAUUUCGGUGAAUCAAACUCACCGGAUAACCUUUGAAAACUUGAUCGUUUCCCAAACGAAGUUGUCCUCUAGACUUCUAGCAUUCUAAAAAUUUUUUUUCAAGAAAUUACAAGCUUCUAAAAGGUUUACCACGAAUUCACCAAAUCAAGUAGAAAAUAGAUAAAAAUUAUCUUAAUCCAAAAAAAACUUAUGCAAAGCUCAAAUCAAUGUAAUGGAGCUUCAAAACCAAACUACAAGAGUGUUCAACACUCAUCAAUUCCACUCCAAAAGCUCAUAAAACGAAAACCCCAAAACAAACCCUAGUUUCUACAAAACUAGAUUUUCUACCAAAAUCUCUUGCAAAUCUCCCAAAUAGAGAGUACAAGGAUGCUACUAACCUCAAAUCAAGUGUCAAACCAAGCUAUGAGGUGUUAGGGGAAGAAAAAGAUCAAACCCAAAUAUUAGAGAGUUAGGGAAAGAAAUUCAAGAGAGAUAAGAGAAAGAGCUCACUUCUUCUCUUCUCUUUAGCUUCGGCACAAAAAGAACAAUGAGAGGGAUGAAGGAAUAUAUUAUAUGAUAUAACAAUAUCCCGUAAGGGCCCUCAAAAACUCAAAAAGUUGCAAAACUGCACGAAAUAGUUUUUGCAGCAUUGAGUACUGAACCCACCCAAUGCAGUACCGGUACUCGGUUUAGUACCGGUACAUAGAGCCAAGUUCCGCAAAACCUGAGAGCUCUCAAAUCUAACACUCAACUGGGUUCUGGUAUCCAGUCUAGUACCAGUACCCGAGAUAAAAACUGCAAUUUUAUAGAUUUUGAUCUUCGGAGUCCGUUUUUGCGCUUAUUAAGCCUCGAGAACACUCUUAAGCUCUCCAAAUUUAGUCAAAAUCUUUAGAAUAGUAUAAAGUACUAUUCUCUCACUAAAACUCCGCAAUUUGAUGAAGUUCAGUGUGCUACAAAUUAGAAGGAAUAAAACACAAUAUAACUAUAGUUUUACACUCAUGUUCAAACUUUAUAUGUCUAUAUUUUAUUCAAUAACAUAUAAGACUUGACAAUUAUAAAGCAAUUUUAAUAUGAAACGUAGGGCCGUUUGGUUUAAGGUUUGUAUGUCAUGAUCCAAGUCCGCCAAUUGGGACUGCUCGAGCAUAUGCAACAUACCCGCUAAACAGGCAAGAUUUGUUCUAUUUGCAUGAAGCGGAACAUUUACAAACAUGUACGAAGCAUAUAUACUAUGAAUAUAUAAAGCAUCAGAGUAAUACUACUGAAUUUAACCAUUACAAAUUUAAACUCUUUAAAAUUUAUAUUCCAAUGCUCUCCAAAACAUAUAAUAGUUUUGCUUGUACAAAAAGGGUACUUUUAAACUAAUCAUGGUUUAUCUACUCUGCAACGCUCUUGCCGUGGUCCCGCGCCUUAUCGGUGAUAGUAGGAUUUGAAAAACAACAACCACAAAGAGGUGAAAAUUUUAAAUAAGUUCUUAGUAAGUGGAACUGAUGAAAGUGGCACUCUACACUCACUCGGUCCAACAAAGGCAUUAGUAGCAAGUAAAUAACAACAACUAUUACUACAAUAAAAAUGCAAUAAGCAAGAAAUAUCUAAUAUGCCUCAAUAUAUACAAUAUGCCACUAAAUUUAUUAUGUCCUUUACCUACACAUACAUCUCAAUUAAUCCUUUACUUUAACCAACUUAUUAGUUUAAUAUCAUUUCUUAUUAGAACUCAUGGGAAGUUAAUUACUCUUGGACUUCUCUCUAAUCGGUAGGUAAAUAGGGUCGAUUGCUCUUUUACUCUCCUAAAUAUCUCAGCGGGAGUUGAUUGCUCUAGAACUUUUUCUCUCUUUCUUUGACACUUUUGGAAGGUCGCACAUAUUUUACCACAUUGUUUGUUUUUCAUUUUGUUAUUCUCUAGUUCAUAUUUAGCUUAAAAUUCAUAUACCACUAUAUUUACACCUUAGGUUUCAACUUAAGUUGAAUGCCACACUUGUUCCCUAUGUUCCAAUAUUCACAUAAUAUUUUAUGCAUGUCUCAAAUCUCUCUCUCUCUCUCUCUCUCUCUCUCUCUUUUUACUAUCCAAAGAUUAGAAACCCUAUUUUUGUUAAGUCAAAUGCUAAGAAUACAUCUUGACCUACAAGAUCUACUAGCAUACAACUAUAAUGCAUUCUAGCUUACAUAUUAUAUAUAAUACAUAAAUGCAAUUAAAAAAAACUUUAUAUAAAGAAAAAAUCAAAUCCAUUUCGGUGUUUCUCCUUUCUCUCGAUUCUUCAAGAAGAGAUGCUUCUUGACCUCUUAAGAAUGCCAAAAAAAUUCUAAAAGUAGCUCUAACAAAGUCAAAAAAUCCAUCAUUUCAGAUAACUUCAAAACAAAACUCUAAAAAUACCAACUCAACUGUCCACCUCAUAGCACAAAGGGUUAAGAGGGUUGUCUUCAUCUUAGCUAAGCUCUCCAUUUUUGAUAAUUUGAAAUUUUUUAGCCGAAGUAAUGGGGGUAGAGAAAUGAUUUACGAUGACAUGGAGGAGGGAGGGGGGGGGGGGGUGGAAUGAUUUACAAUGAAGAUAAAGCUAGUCUUGGUGAAACUGAUGGGAACCUACGGCGAGCAGGAAAAAAUGAUGUUAAUCACCAACCGCAUUGAUUAGAAGAAUCGUUCCACAAUUUAGAGCAGUAGUUGCACUAUUGUGUCUGCAGUAGCUCUAUAUUGUGGGUAUAAUACACUAUCUUAAUAACCUAUUGCACUAUAUAGAAAAAUCAUUACACUAUUUAGAGUAGUUGUUGCACUAUUGCAAUCGAAGUAGCACUGAAUUAAAGGAAUAAUGCACUGUUUUAGAUUUUAUGGCACUGUUUCCAUUUAAGUUGCACAACUUGUUUGCCAUGUGGUACCAUGUUGCAAAUGCACGACUUGUCUUCCUCCUCCCCUUCCUACCCGUAAACCCUUCUACUUCUCCAUCCUGCUAUACUUUUUCCUCUUCUCUUUUGCAAACAGUGAGCGCAGCGAAGAGCGUUGGAAUAAAAUACCAGACGUGUGGCAAAAAAGGAUAUGAAGAUAGAUAGCAGCAUAGAGGAGGACAAGUACUACAACACAAUUAGGUUAUAGAGACACAUGUUUGGGACACUUUUGAGUAAGUGUCCCAUUUAUGCUAAAACUUAAAAAAAUAUUUACUUAUGCCUAAAUAUAAAGCCCAAUCUAACCAAAAUAAAAGAUUACUCUACUCAACCCACCACACCCAGUCCAUUUGACCAGAUUACAAACAGAAAAGAAAAAAAAAAAGAAAAAUCAAUUACCAUCUUUUCUUCUCUCUUCACUCAAUCCACUGAAAUUAUAGACGAAGAGCCUUUCCUGUCGUCCUCCUCCGCCACCGCAGCCAACGAGAUAGAGUUUCGGCGGUUGCUAAAUGCUUAAAUAAGUGUUGGUAAAUUAGCAGCACUCUUUUAGGUUAUAGCGACACUCUUUAACUGUCACUAUAUACCUAGCGACCCCACAUAUAGCAACACUUUUUAAAAGUGUCGGUAAUUUUAGCUAGCAGCACUUUUUUGACAUGUACCUACAUUUAAAAGUGUCGCUAUAGACCAUUUUUGUUGUAGUGAAGGGGUUUAGAAAAAGGAAUAAGCAGCACGGGACGACGAAGAGAGGGUCGUUGGGAGAGCGGAAGAAGAAUGACGAUGGAGUGGCAUAUUGCACUGAUCGGGGUGAGUGGACAGAGUUGCACUGGUUUGAGCAACGUAUUGCACUUUUUGAAGUUUGUUGCACUGCUUUACAUUACGUUGCACCAUUUGCCUCGCUUGCUGCCUGCGUUAUCUUCUUAAUAUAGCUUGAAAAAAUUUAUUUUGGAUUAAAAAGAACACCAAACAUCAGGGCUGACAAGUAGCAUGGAGCGAUUUGGCUCGAAUUUUGAAAACGUGGAGGUUGUAUAAUUUAGCGCGGACCGCAUUUAGGGCUUGUUUGUUUGCAAGGAAGUGGAGUGGAAGUGGGAGGGAGGAAGUGAUUUUCGGUAAAAAUCGACCACUUUCGUUGUUUAGUUCACCAUAAAAAAGUUACGGUUGAAGAUCUAGUUAACUAAAACAGCGUAAUUGACUUCAGCCCAUCGUGGGCCGAAGUCAAUUACGGUGAAGAGAGGUGAAGAAAAAUAAUAAAAUAAUAUACUAGGUAAAGAUAAUUAUAUUCAAAUAUAUAUUUAAUUAUGGAAUUAAUUAUUCUUUUAUUUAUUUGGCAUAUUUAAAAUAUGAUAAAAAUUGAUUAGUUAAGUUUUAAUAUUUUUUAUUUUGUUUGUACAAUAAAAUAUAAUAAAAAUUAAUUAAUUAAAUAUUAAUAUUUUUUAUUUUAUAAUUUUAUUGUUGUAUUACUAUAAUUUAGUAUAAAAAAAAUAAUUUAGUUGCUUUAAAUUAAGUUUUAAUUAUAUAAAAAUAUAAUUAUAUUAUUUUAUUUAUUAAAUUAUUUAUUAUUUAUAUAUAAAUUAUAGUUUUAUAUUUUACACUUCCUACCAAACAAACAGUAGAAGUAAUGAAACUUUACUUUCAUAAUUAUAAAACAAACGAAGAGGAAGUAGUUAUCACCGAACUCUACUUCAACCCAAAGUCUACUUCAACCUAAAGUCUAGUUUCGAUAAAACAAACAGGCCCUUAAUACCCGUCCAGACGAUAUACAGUAUAAGUAGACGUAUAUGAGGAGAUACGAAUAAGGCGGAUGGAGACGGGGAACAUUUUUAUUAGAUGGUUGAAAAUUCAGAUGGAAUUUGUAAAAUCCAGUAAGGCGACCUAUGUUUCAAAAUCUCCAAACUAGUGGGAUUUUAAUGCAAAUUGGCUUUUUAUUAAUUUAUUUAUUAAUUAAUUUAUUUUUUUCCCCCACACUCUCUCUGCAGCUUCCACGUGACGUGCUUUAAAAAGCGCGCCUCUGCCACCCAAUACAAACAAACCAACCCCACGACCAUUUACACCCCCACACCCGUCCGCCCCCCACUCUCCGACUCUGUCGGUGGCUCUCUCCUUUCUUAUCUCGCACAAGCAAGCCCCUACUCCCACCCAAUAAGGGGAAAAGGGGACGACGAGGACGCGGAGGAGCAACAAACCCUAACGUCCGUUCCCUCAUUCCUCGACGCUCCGAGGCUAGGGAGAUCUAGGGUUAGGGUUAGGAGGGCUAGGGUUUGCGCCGUCGUUGUUGUUGCGAAGAAGAUGAGGGAGAUCAUCAGCAUCCACAUCGGCCAAGCCGGGAUCCAGGUCGGCAACGCGUGCUGGGAGCUCUACUGCCUCGAGCACGGCAUCCAACCCGAUGGGAUCAUGCCGAGGUCUCAAUUUCCCUCUCAAUCAUCAGAUCCCGCUUUUCCACUACUCGGCUUUUGUGGUAGAUGUUGUGGAUGGGUGUUGAUGAUGCUGCUCGAAUUUUCUGCGAUUUUUUCUUGUUGUUUUUCCCCCUUUUUUUGGGUUUUCAUCGGUUCUUAUUGGUGAAAAAUGUUGUGAAUGUGUCCUGUUGCUCGUCGAAUUUCUUCAAUUUAUGGGGUUUUUUCGUUGAUUUUUUUGGUGCUCAUGUUGUCAUCAAAUUGCUUUUACAGAGGAAUAUGCCGGAUCCGUAGAUUUAAUCUAAGGUUUCGUUUUGAUCCAAAUAAAAUGAUGAAUAUAUUUGAUUAAUUGAUGUUUGAAACAGGAAAUAAACAAUGAACGAGAGAUUUGCAAAUGUUGUUAUCUUUUACGUGAAUCUAUUAGCAGUUCAGCGUGUAAAUAUAUUAUGUUUUUUUCUUUACAAUGUGGCAAAUACUUGUUUUUUUUCCCCUACUUUUUUCAGUCCCUCUCUUUUUCUUUCCUUUUUUUCUCAAAUCUUUCGGAGCUUAUUCGCUUUUACUGGUAAUUGUUGAUUUUCUUUUGAACUUAAUUGUUUUUUUUUUUUUUUUUUUUUGAGGAAAGCUUCUUCGUUCGUUGCAUCAAUGUUUCUUGUGUUUCUACUCUUUUUUCGUUUUUAGUACUUGAAUCCCUAAUUAUUGCCAUCAACUUGCUUUCCGAAGAAGAACUUUCCUGAUUGUGAAAUGGUCCGUUAGAGUAUAUCCGUAAACGGUUCCACAUCUAGAUCCAGAUCUGGAUCUGGAUCUGGGUCAAUAAAUUUAAUCAGGGUUUGUUUUCGUAGUAUUAAAGAUCUGUUUGAUCAAAUACAACUCAGGAGGUAAUAGAGAUCCAUUUGAUCUGAUAAAACUAAGGAUUCUAUUCAUUUUUUGUUGUUCUCUUUCAUGUGAUCUAUGAGCAGAUUAGGGUGUAAAUACAUGUUUCUUUCGAGAAAAUAAACGGGAACAGAUGUUUGAUAUAGUUCCAAGAUCUUGUAUAAUUGGGAGGUUCCUCUUCUGUUUCGUGCCGAGGGAACGUUGCUGACAUACUUGAUUUUUUGCUUACAGUGAUACAUCGGUUGGAGUGGCCAAUGAUGCUUUCAACACGUUCUUCAGUGAGACUGGUGCCGGCAAGCACGUGCCGAGGGCCAUCUUUGUGGACUUGGAGCCCACCGUCAUAGACGAGGUCCGCACCGGAACUUACCGCCAGCUCUUCCACCCAGAGCAGCUUAUCUCCGGCAAGGAGGAUGCGGCCAAUAACUUCGCUCGUGGCCACUAUACUGGUAAUCUUUCUUUCUUCUAGUCUUGUCCUACUGAAUUUGCUUGUAAUGGAGUUCCAUGUAAAAGUAAAAUUGUAUGGACUCGAAGUAUAGUGUAUUUUAAAUGGGUACCUAAAAGUAUACAAAUUUUUUAUAAUUGUACCUAACCUUCUACGUAACCUUCUAUCCAACCUUGCAAUAUAAUUGAUUGAAUAACCUCACUGUUAAAACUUAACAGUGUUUUUUAAUUUUCUUAAUGAAAUAUUCUAGAUCUUAAUGGAAUAUAUUGUUACUUACCAGAAUGUUAAAUUUGUACUAUAACACAAGUAAUAGAGGAGUAAAAUGAAAGGUUUUAACAUUCAGGUAUUUAGAUCUGUACAUUUUUACCUAAAGUAAAAUAUUGGACUUCUUUGAAAGCUUACACUCCUAGAUAAUGAUGUAAAUCAAUUUUGUAUUUAAGAUAAUGGUAUUGUAAAUUGAUUUUGUGUUAACAAUCUCCCUCAUGUGUUGGUAGAUUUUGAUGCGGUCCCAGUAUGUGAUUGGAAACUGGAUUGGUGGAAAUUAAGUGAAACUAGAGCCUUGAAACUUGAAAGAUUUGGAUGCAAGAUCAUUUGACCUAAUGCCAUGUUAAUGAAUUGAGAUUCUUUUUAUUAGGCCCGUGAUUUAGACUUUAAGUUAACAGAUUUUUUUUAAAAAAAAUGUAAAUGACGGAUUGACCUGGUGGAUGUGGACUCAAGGCCUUCUGCUCUAGAAUGACAUAAAAAACAUAAAAGCUUAAGCUACUAUAUAAGUGUGGUUUUAUUGGUGUGAUGCAGUUGGGAAGGAGAUUGUCGAUCUCUGCCUUGAUCGUGUGCGGAAGUUGGCGGACAACUGCACUGGCUUGCAAGGCUUUCUAGUCUUCAAUGCUGUUGGUGGUGGUACUGGAUCUGGAUUGGGGUCUUUGCUGUUGGAACGAUUAUCUGUGGAUUAUGGGAAAAAAUCCAAGCUUGGUUUCACCAUCUAUCCUUCCCCACAGGUUUGAAUUGUUUGAAGUUCAUUAUAGUUUUGCAUGAAUGCGGAAAACCGUGGUGCUUAGUUCCUUUAAUUUCUUUGUAGGCUAAUUUUUAUGCGUCAUUUUAGUUUUCUGCUAUAGAAAUAUGUUGUUCUUAACAUAACUUUCUGCACUUGUGCUUUGCAUUUGAAGAUAUCUCUAAUUAUUAUGUUUAUCUUGUUUAGAGGCAUGUUGUGCAGAGAGAAGUUCCACUGGACAAAUUGCCAUCAGGGAAAAUUUUAAUUUAAACCAAGAUGCAUCCGAUGAUCUCAUGCUAAUUUCUUACUAGCAUAUGCUUCAUAGGAGAAAUCAUGCUAAUAAGCAAAAUUCCUUCUCUCUUUAAUAGUUUUCCAAGGCAAAUGUAGUUCAAAAUUGUGUGUUCAAUAAGUUGGUCAUUUAAUUUUCAUAAAAUUGAAGUAAAUAUUUUGAUAUAUUAAUGUUAACAUAUUUCUUUUGUUUGGUAUUAAAAAAUACAGUGCAUCAAAUAUUGGGUCACAACUGGGCUAUUAAAAUUUGUGAGCUUUAGUCUUGUUAAAUUGCACAACAGGGCUAUUCAAAUUUGUGAUCUGUACUCUUGUUUAAACAUGCGAAGAUUUUCAUACUGGAUAAUUUGGAUAAAUCGGAUAGUGAAUAAUGUUCCUACAAGUGCGGCAAACUAGAAUGGCAAUUAGAAUCCUUGCUCUCAAUUCUUCUGCUGAACUAUUGGGUGCAUGCCACCAUGAUUUCUCCAUCACAUGCUGCUAUAGGCCAACCCUAGCAUUCAAGUCAUUGUUUACAAGAAUCUCAUGUGUGCAUCUGUGAUUUACGAAAAAGAAUAAGAGAGUAGGUUUUGUCUGGUAUGUAGGGAUGGUUCGUGGUAGAUAUUGGUUGUUUUCUCAUAACUUCCCUCUUUAUUAUUCGAUCGUUGUGUUUUAACUUUUUCAAUAUAGUGACCUACGCUCUAAACCUUCAUAAAUCACAGGUUUCCACAGCUGUUGUGGAGCCCUACAACAGUGUCCUUUCCACUCAUUCCUUGCUCGAGCACACAGAUGUCGCAGUUCUCUUGGACAAUGAGGCCAUCUAUGAUAUCUGCCGUCGAUCCCUUGACAUUGAGAGGCCCACUUACACCAACUUGAACCGUCUGAUCUCUCAGAUCAUUUCUUCAUUAACCACAUCUCUAAGGUUUGAUGGAGCCAUUAAUGUUGAUGUUACCGAGUUCCAGACUAACCUCGUGCCCUACCCCAGAAUCCAUUUCAUGCUCUCCUCCUAUGCCCCUGUCAUAUCUGCCGAGAAGGCAUACCAUGAGCAGCUCUCGGUGCCCGAGAUCACGAAUGCUGUUUUUGAACCUUCGAGCAUGAUGGCUAAAUGUGAUCCCAGGCAUGGCAAGUACAUGGCAUGUUGCUUGAUGUAUCGUGGUGAUGUCGUUCCAAAGGAUGUUAAUGCUGCUGUUGCAACCAUUAAGACCAAGAGAACUGUCCAGUUUGUCGACUGGUGGGUGCUUACUCUCUUUAUCCCUGUUUUUCUUUUAGCUUUGGUUCUUUAGAAGUUGAGUAAUUCUUUGGAAAAUUUAGAUGCCUCUGUUUUAUAGUUUGGCUUUUAAAUUAACACCUAACAGUUAACAGAUUGUAAUGCUUUAGUGCAUCAGUUUGCUGUUCUGUUUGGCCCUAUUAAAACUGAGAACAUGAAAAAUCACAUAACUGAUUAAAUCACUUCAAACAAGGAUCGCUCAGUUUAAUCUAUUGAAUCCUUAUUUAUAGUUAUUCUAAAACCGUAAAAUUGCUACAAAUCCACAUGCUUAUUAAUAAUGUUCAUGCCCUAAUGGGAAAUCUAAAAAGCAAAUUCCGGUAGGAAAGGGAUUUGGUUCGAACCUAAAAAAGUAACAAGCAAUGCAGCUAAAAUGCGGUUGGGGCAUCUCUUGUUUAUAAGUACAUUGCCUGUUUUCUUAUGUUUAGGUGUCCUACCGGUUUCAAGUGCGGGAUCAACUAUCAGCCACCAACUGUGGUCCCUGGAGGUGACCUUGCCAAGGUGCAGCGUGCCGUGUGCAUGAUCAGCAACAACACCGCAGUCGCCGAGGUCUUCUCGCGAAUCGACCACAAGUUUGAUCUCAUGUACGCCAAGCGGGCUUUCGUGCACUGGUACGUUGGCGAGGGGAUGGAAGAAGGGGAGUUCUCCGAGGCGCGCGAGGACUUGGCCGCGCUCGAGAAGGACUACGAAGAAGUCGGAGCGGAGGGUGCGGAUGACGAGGGCGAAGAAGGCGAGGACUUCUGAGCUGUGUUGUGGCGUGCAGUUAGAAGUGUUGUUAGUGAUUGGUUUGUGCAGUAUGUAUACUUUCUCUCUGUUUGUCGCUUUGUUUCGUGCAGCAGAUUGUAUUGUUGUCUUCCUUUGUUUAUGUGCUGUCCGUCCUGGCUCAACAUACUGAGUGAUUGUUGAUAUUUCUUCUGCUUAUUUGUGGUUUGGCAGAGUACUGAUUGUGCUAAAAUGUGUUUUUCUUGUCUUUUCUUUGCUUUGUUCAUUAGCUUCGGCUUUUUAGAGUUGGUUUCUAACAAGAUGAUGACUAUUUUGUUACUGGCGCAGAGAAAAUUUCACUCAACAAUUGUUGUAGGAUAGUAGUGAUUAUUUGAGAUUGAGACACUAGUUACAUGUUAAUGGUUAGGUGCAGUUUCCUCUGCAUUUGUGUUUGUGUGCUACCCUGCUCUUCUUUGGUGUUGCUUCAAACUGUUAAAUACACUGUAAGUGUAUUUAUGCUUGUUUUCAAUUUUUUAUUAUUUUUUUAUUGUCAUGUGGAUUUUAUAGUAAUUAGGAGGUAGUGAUGGGUUUUUUUAGGCUAGUGAGGCUAAUAAAAAUUUCUUAUUAUAAGAGUAGAAAUUUUUAUUAUAGACUAGGUUUAAAAAAGACCGUUUGUUAAAACGGUAAAUUAUUCACUGCUUACACUUAAAUUUUUUUUUUAUAUUUGAACAUAAUUUUAAUAUUUACUGUAUAGAACUAGUUUUAUAAAUAUAUUUUUAAUAAAAUUAUUUUAUAAUUUAUAAUAUUAUUUUAAGCCUAUUAAUAAAACAAAUUUGGUGAUGAUGCACAUUGUUUCUCUUGGUUAUUUGUAUAUUUGUAUUGUGCAUUAGAAAUUACUGUAUACAAUUACUUUAUACAAUUAUUAGCAUCAUUUUAUGCAUAGUUUUAUGGAUAUGAUGAUUAAUUGAGAUUAAGAAAACACCUGCACUAACAUUUUGGGAUUAGCUAGGAUUACGCAGUUUGUUACUUGUGAGUCUACAAAUUGUUUCUCACUUUGCAGAAAUUUUCAGAUUUCGAACUCCACACAAGUAUAUGAAUUUAUAGAUCAUGUAGUAGCCAACAGGAAAACUCAUUUUUAGUCAGAAUAACUUUGCCAUAUUAAUAAUAACAAGCUCACAAAUAAUAAAGACACUAAAUCUGAAGAAUUUCUGCAACAGUUAACGCUGCGCCAUUCAGAAUUUGGCCUUCUCUCUCCUUGCUAGUUUUUUUUUUUUUUUAUUAAACAGGGAUUUACUCUAUUUGUGGAGUACAGUGGAACAAGUAGUAAAAACAGCACCUACAGAAAAAUAAAUUACAUAAGUUGAACCCACAAUCCAAACUCAAUCAUCCCCCCAGGUGGAUCUCCAGGACUCUACUUCAGCUAUGAUGGAUUUUUCCAUUUCUUCGUGCGUAACUCGUCGAUUGCGAAAGAUCCUUGAAUUUCGCUCUUUCCAAAGAGCCCAACAGGCUGUAGUAAAACAGAGGUCGAAUAGUGUUCUUGUUGUUCCCGACAGCAUAUAUCUAUUGCGAUUCCACCGGAUUGGGAUAUCCCCCGUUCGGUUAAUCACAAGGUCUGCAGAUGACCUAGCACUAUCGAGGACCAAAGCCCAAACAGAUCUCGAAUAGAUGCAUCCAAAGAGGAGAUGUUCUAGAUUUUCAUCAUUGGCGGAACAUAGCACGCAUAUUGAAGGUCCAUGUCAUCCUCGUUUAGCAAGUACAUCGGCUGUCAAGAGCUGAUUCCUCACAGCUAGCCACAUAAAUUCCUUGAUCCUGAGUGCAAUCUUGAUCUUCCAAAGAUGAGGCAGCCUACAGUCCUUGACUCCACUAAGGGCGAAAAAAGCAUAAGCAUUCCUAGUCGAGAAACAUCCUGCUGCAUUCCAUCUCCAAAUAAUAGAGUCGUUCACAUCCACGUGUAAAGUGAUGUUGGAAAGUAUGGCCUGAAGAGCUAGGAGUUCAUUGUCCUGUUCGAAGCUGAGGGGUGGACAGAACCCCAUCAUCGGGUGAGUGGUGAAACGUCGAAACCAAGACAUGACAGAAAUGUGCUUGAUUGUCGAUAAAGCGUGCAGAUUAGGGAAUUGUUUCCGCAGCGAGAGCUCCCCAUACUAGUUUUUUUGUCAUCUCACAGAAGGUCAAUACAUUCUCAAUGUAAACCAGUUAACCACAUGAAAGAAAUUUUGUUUUGAACAUUCUCAGAGGACUGAAUUUUUGUGCCAAAUUUGUAAUAAAAAGGGGCUGCAACAUGUACUUGCACUGGUAGUUAAGCUAAGCAUCAUCAUUAAUGAGGUACACUAAUUAUAGUAGAUCUUGGUCCAAAUUAAGUGCACAAACGAUACUCUAUUUGUUUAUUCGAAUCUCACAUUAGGUUUAGUGAAUCUUCCUCAACUUUCAAUAAUCUGACAAAAACUGAGGGGCUGAGGUGCCCCUAAUUUCUUCUUUACUCUUAAACAAAAGUACUUCGCUCAUAAACUAGUUUCAAAAACUAAAUAGGAGCAAAGUAUCUUUGUUUCAAAACUACGUUGUUCUCUAGUAGAGAGUCUUAAUAUGAUGAUAAGUACUUCAUAUAAGAAAAUAAUAAUCUCAAACACUUGUUAACACUAAACCCGCUGGGUGCUGCCCGAUUUGGAAAGGAAUUCUCAGCAUCGCUGCACCUUUUCAUUCUUCUCUUUACUUGUCACUUGGUAACGAAAAGGUUGCGUCGUUUUGGAAUGCUAUAUGCUGUGGAGAUUUUGUCCCGCGGAACCAAUUUCCCAACCUAUAUGCCUUAUCGACCCAUAAACACCUCUCGGUCGAAAACUGGAUUCAACAUUUUGCUUUGCGCACCAAUCACAAUGCCUAGUGGAACAGGAUGAGCUUCUGCAGUUCAAUACGCUGAUCCACGACAUUUUGCCGUCUGAUUCUGAUGACUCGACCAUUUGGCGAUGGAAUAUUAACGGCAGUUUUUCGGUACGGAACGCCUAUGAUUUUCUUAUCUUUAAUGGAUAUGGAAACUCAAGGUUCCUCUCAGAGUCAAAUUAUUUAUGUGGUCAGCUGCGAGAAAUUGAGUUUCGACGGUCGACACACUUGCUAGGCGAGCCCAUCGAUCUGUGUGUUAUGCUUAAUUCACAAAUGAAGACAACCUGGAACACAUCCUCUUUUGCUACACCUAUGCGAGGUCCGUGUGUAAUUGGCUUCUUCAAAGUAUUCCGAUCACACAGCACUUGAUGGCCAACUUUUCUGGAGAUAUAGCGAGUCGGUGGAAAUGAGUAAGGAUGUCAUUGGUGGGACUACCAAAAAAUAAUUUUGAUCUCUAUUUUACAGCGGCUUGCUGGGAAUUGUGGAAACAGCGGAAUAUGAGAAUUUUCAUGAACGCCUGAUUCGAAGGGAACAGCUGGGAAGAAGAGUCCGUUGCACGGUGAAACUUUGGAUAUCUGUACUUGGGCCCUGAGACUGCUUAUGCUUCCCUCUUUUUUUUUGUUUUUGCUAUCUUUUGUGUUUCUUCAUUGUUCUUUUUAGCCAUAGUUGGCUCAGAGUUGUUGUGGUUGAGUUUGCUUUGCGGACGAGCUUGCUUUUCCCCCAGUGAAUUGUAGGUUGUAUGUUUUUCUGCUCAAAUAGGGAAUAUCCCUGUUUAAUCGAAAAAAAAAAGAUGCCGGAAUCACCUAUAUAUUCCGGCGCAGAGUGCACAACAACUCAGGAAUCUAAAUCGCGGAGUUUACACAACAUCAAUUGAUUUUAAUAGUUCCCUCCUAGCUAGUGAGAGAAUAUAAACUAGCCUCGCGAGCGAAACCUAGAUGUAAUGAGCUUCUUUCAGAUAGAUGCUUCUUAUUGUUAGUUAAGAUCUUGGCCUUAACUUCAACUUGGACACCGACAAUGGUGCGUGUUAAAUAUGUCUCGAAUUCUAGUACCGCAAGGUCUUCUAGCCCUAUUCUGUUUUAAUUAUCCCAUUAGGUUAAGUUUAGAUUAUGCCUAAUUUAUUGAGAUAUUCCUAAUCUUAGUGGGUUUGUAUUCCUAAUCGUAUUUAGAUUUAGCCACUAUUAUAAAUAUACCCUUUCCGCUAUUGAUUUAGUGCGGAAGAUGAGAGAGAGAAUAUGGGUGUAUUUUUUGGGAUUAGAGUUUUGUGAGAGGGGCAUAUUUUGUACAUCACUUUGAUUAUAAUGAAGAUCUCCGCUCCGUCUUCGCCCGUGGACAUAGACCGUUGGCCGAACCACGUAAAUAUUGUGUGCUUUAUUUUUCUUCUCUUUUUUCUCGGAUCUCUUUUGGUAUUUUCGCAUCCGACGAACUAGAUCUUCUUGGUUUUAGUUCUAACAAACUGGUAUCAGAGCCGAAGUGUUCGUUUGGGUGUUUAAGACGUCGAUGAAUUUGAGAUCGAGAAGUUUGAUCGCUCUAGCAGUUUCGCUCUACGACAAGUUGUCGUUCUGAUGCAACAGAGAUUGCAAAAGGCGUAGUUGGAGAUGAGAAGAUUGGCACUUCAAAGAAUCCCGCGGAUUUGCUCAUUAAGUUUUUAGGCGAUCAAGGUCAAGUAUUCCGUAAACUUGUUCGCAUGUGCAGUAGCACUUCAGGAGCUCUUGGGAUUUUGGUGGAGAAGACAUAGAAUUCAAGCCAAGGUAGAGAUUGUUAAAUAUGUCUCGAAUUCUAGUACCGCAAGGUCUUCUAGCCCUAUUCUGUUUCAAUUAUCCCAUUAAGUUAAGUUUAGAUUAUGCCUAAUUUAUUGAGAUAUUCCUAAUCUUAGUGGGUUUGUAUUCCUAAUCGCAUUUAGAUUUAGCCACUAUUAUAAAUAUACUCUUUCCGCUAUUGAUUUAGUGCGGAAGAUGAGAGAGAGAAUAUGGGUGUAUUUUUUGGGAUUAGAGUUUUGUGAGAGGGGCAUAUUUUGUACAUCACUUUGAUUAUAAUGAAGAUCUCCGCUCCGUCUUCGCCCGUGGACAUAGACCGUUGGCCGAACCACGUAAAUAUUGUGUGCUUUAUUUUUCUUCUCUUUUUUCUCGGAUCUCUUUUGGUAUUUUCGCAUCCGACGAACUAGAUCUUCUCGGUUUUAGUUCUGACAGUGCGAGUACAUCAACUGAAAACCCCGAGCACACCAUUGACAAGUAUCGACGCUAUGCGUGGAAUCAGUGGAGCAUUCCUGCUGAGAACAAACACAUCGCUCAAUACGAUCAUGUUUGAAAACACCGAGAGAGACUUUAACAAAGAGAAAUAGUUCACAUUUUCACUUAUUAUAAUGUCGCUAAGGACAUUAAUCUCAAAAUCCUAGCCACAAAUAUAAUAUCUAUAUGUGAUCAACCAUUCCUCUACAAGCUAUAGUUGACAGAGAAAAAGUCAGGAUGAUACUUAAUCUAUUUAAUGUGGAUUGAAAACUUCAUGUAAACUAGAUAUUAACCUUCGCAAGACUAUGUUUUGAUCUGUGUUAAACUUACAGAUUAUAAGAGAUAAGAAGAAUUAUAAAAGAGCUUUUCCACAGACAAAAAAUCAAACAAGAAAUUUAUGACGGAAAUUUAGAUUAAUUAUUACAUAUGAUAACUUUUUCUCAGAAGAUUUUGACAAUCGAAGAAAAACAAUAGUGAGGAAUAUAAUUAAUAGCUCCGCACUAUCUCCAUAUGACUUUAUGAACAACUAUUCAUAUGGCUAAAACAUACUUGGGUAACUUUCUUGCGUGGCGAUUGGGAAAAGCUCUUUUGGCAUAUCGAUUUUCUGAAAUUCAGGCUCUGAAUCUUCUGCUCUGAUGUCACUCGAGACCACCGAUUUCUCUAAAAGCAUAUGCUGCCGAGAAUGGCAUCAAAUGUUUGUAUAUUAUAUUGGCUAAUAAUUUCUUUCAUCAUCAGUCUUUCUCUGAAACAAAUGCAUGAGGACAGCAGAACUAAUUCCUUCUGAACAAAUGGGGCUGGCAGUGAGUUGCUUUCAUCUAGGAAUAAGAUGUCAACUACUCCAAACAAAGUCUCUUAUUUGAGAUGGUGAGUUGUCAUCUCCAACUACCAUUUGUGAAGCUAGGAGGGUGACAACAGAUUUUUGUUCCUAUUGUGUAGGAUUGGUUAUGACUUGUGAAUCUUCAGUAUGAGUUUUGACAAAACACAUUCUCUUGUUUUGUGGUUUGAUAUAUAUAUAUAUAUGUAACCCAUACAGUUAGCUGAUGAACCUAAAGCAUUUCACUACAUACUAAUUAAUUAGAAGUUAACCAAAAACAAAAAUCCAACAGUAAUGAACAAAGUAGUUACACAGAUGCCACAUCUUUGGAGACCAAAAUGAUACAUAAUACAGACUCUCAUCAGUAGUACUCAUGAAAUUUAUGUGGAAAAAGCCGUGAAAUCCAUCACAAGGAGAGUUGUAAUUUCAACUGGAGUUGAACUACCAGAUAAUUAAACUUAUAUAUAUAUAUAUGUAUAUCCAAAUUCUAAGAUGUUUCAGAUCAUCAUUACGCUGUUUAAAAAACCAAGAUAUAUCACACAGGUAUUGCAUGGAAUUGGCUUUUUUCUGACGCAGAUAAACAAAGAAAGAGUAGAGAAAAUUUUAAAAAAAGAAGAAAAGGGAGAAGAGAACUCUUGAUUAAUUCUUAAUGCAUCAGGACCUGCAAAACAAGUGACAAAGAGGAGGGAGAUCCCACAGCAAAUCGCAGGGAUCGAGCACCGUCUCAAAGUACUCCUGAACCCCGUUCAUCGCGUACAGCGAAGCCGAGAUCUGCCUCUCCACCCUCAUCCUCUCAAACUCCGAGACCUCCGGGUUGAUCAGGUUGGCCAACUCACCGUAUCCGUCGAACACGGCGAGGCGGUCGAACCCGGCUUCGAAUGCCCAGGAUUGAUCGGCGUGCGCAGAACCGAGACGAGCAUCUUCACUUCCAUUGAUGAAGUAAGGCCUGAACACCUCAUGAUCAGUGCUCAAUUGGGUAUCAUGCUUCAUGUCACCACAAGGAGUUGCACCAGUACUAACUGUUCCAUUUGUCAUAGUUUCACUUGUAGCAGCAGUGCUUGAACAUGUUGUAGCAGCAGUGCUACUAGUGCUAAUACUAGUAUUUGUGAUAGAGGUGGAAUUGCUUGGAGAAGUGUUACUCUUCUUGAGCUUCUUGUGAUCGAGUAGGCUGCGAAUUCGCGAGGCGAGCGGGGAGUUGGGGGACGACGGAUGCGCGACGAAGUUGGUCCGGGUGUUCGAACCGCGGAGCAGGCAGGCAGCCUCGUCGUAGGCCCGCGCCGCCUCCUCGGCCGUCUCGAAGGUGCCCAGCCACAUCCUUAUCUUCUGUGUUGUGUCCUUUAUCUCUGCUACCCAUCUCCCUGAGGGCCUUUGCCUCACACCAACAAACUUGCUGCUGCUUCUGCUUUUCCCUUUGAGCUUAUUGUUAGGCUUGUUAGAAGCAGCUGUGCCUAAGUAGUACUGUUGCUGUUGUUGUUGUUGUUGUUGUUGUUGCUGUUGUUGUUGUUGGAAGUGGAGUUCCAUGGAGUUUGAUUCUUUCCUUUUUUUUUUUUUUCUCUUUUGUUGGUGUUUGUAGGAUUGUGUUGAGGGAAAAGGAGGGGGUGGAAUGAUGGAUAAAUUUGAGAGGAAUGGAGUGGUGGUGGAGAUUUUUAAGUGAAAGAUAGUGGGGGAGUUGUCAUGUUGUGAAUGUUGUCUACAUGUUAUUUGGAAAUUUAUAGAGCUUUGGGGGAACAAUGACUAGGUUUCCUAUGAGGAGUCUACAGUUCACUUGCAUUGUUUGUUAGGAAAAAAGUUUGUGGUGAACAUGUCUAUGAUCAUUUUUUUUUUCUCCCCAUGUGGUUUUACCAAAUCGCCCUUCAUUUGCAUGGUCUGAGAUAUCAUGUAUUUUUUUUAUUAAUUUACAAGGUAAAUUGUGUGUUACAUGCAGUUCCCAUAAAAAUUAAUCUUGUAUCAUUAGCACUGUACUUAAUUUUUUAUUUUGGCUUUGAAAAAGCAGGUAUUAUCGCAAAGUUAAUGCGGUUUCGUCCAUCUCACAGCUCUUUAAAUAGUCUCUACCACGAUAAUCAUACAUUCCGAUACAUUGCUCCUAUAUAUAUAUAUAUAUAUAUAUAUAUUGUUGUUUUUUUAUGGCACUAAAUUUUUACAUUUGAAAGAAAAGGGAAAGAAGAGUUUGAAGUAUUACAAUUUCAUUUUUUACGAUUCCUUUGUGAGAUUCCUACUGCGAAAUCAAACAAAUUAAAUCUUGUUGCUUAUACUAAAACAAAUUAAUCACUCAGCAAUUAAUAGAACGGUUUGUUGCCAUUUUUAUAGUAGUUUAAUUCUCUACUAGUUUUCUGUUGUUAAUAAUUAACAAAAUUCAUAGCUAUAUAUAUUAGCUAGAAAAUAUUUUGCGUUAUUAAAUUUAGUUGGUAAAAAUAAUAUACACUUAGAAAAUUAAAAGUUAAACAAGUAUAUAUUAUAUGAAAAAAAAAAGGUUAACAAACCGUUCUUUUUUUUCCUCUCUACAUUAGUUAACUUAAAGUCAUGGGGGGCACGAUUAGCCGCCACGUGGCGGCAUAUGAAGCCUCUAUGCUAGUGUGCUAUGUGACAACAUGGAUGCAUCUGAGGGGUGCAAAACAAAAUUUUUUUAAAAAAAAAGGAAAAAAAGAGAAGGGCAAAAACAUGUAUGGAGGCCCCCUGAACUAUUUAAUAUUUUUAUUAACAAUGUCUAAAACAUUUAUUUGGAUGUUUUUAUUAACAAACUCUAAACAAAAAAAAAAAAAGUAAUGGGAGUGUAAAUCAAAAGAAUUAGGUCUCAUCGGGAUGUCGAAUUUCUUUCUUUUUUUUUUUGCGAAAUUUGAAGUAAUUAUCAGCUUGAUCUUUGCUUUGUAAGAAUUAUUGGUAUUUAUGAUUUGACAGCAUAGUAUAUUAAUUUUGGGGUAAACUUCAAAUACCCCCUGUGGUUUCAUACUUUCUCACUUUAGUACCAUGUGGUUUAAAGUGUAUUAAAUUAACCCCUGUGGUUUCAUACUUUCUCACUUUAGUACCCUGUGGUUUAAAAUGUAUCAAGUUAGUACCCUGUCGUUUUAUUUUUCUCUUUUUAUUAUCCAUUUCACUAAUUUUUUUGUUAAAUCAGUGACAAAGUAAAAAUUAAGGAGUACUAGAGUGAAUAUUCGAUAAACCUAGAUAGGGUAUCUGAAGUUUUUUGUAUAUAAUUUAAUGAAAUAUUAACAGAGGAAAAAAAAUUAGUGACAAAGUUAAAAUUAAAGGGUACUUGUAACGUAUCACAUCCCCGUAAACCGUGCCGAGUUCCGUUGAAAUGGGCGGAAUGCGGAGUUGGGCGAGUUAAAGUGCUUUACAAUGGGUUCUAUGGGCAUUAGAACCAAUGUAUAAGGUAAAGGGACCCGAGAGAGUGAAUUCUGGAAAAUGGCUAAGUCCCAGAAUUUUGGACUCUCGCGGACCGGUCCCUAAAGGAAGACCGGUCCCCGCACACGCAGCAAGAGAAAAGAGAGAAAAAUCGACUAAGUCCUGAAAAUACCCCUUUCGGGAACCGGUCCCUGGUGGAGAGAUCGGUCCCCGUGAGACCGGUCCCUGGUGGGGAGACCGGUCCCCGUAUGCGAAAAUUGCCCAGGUUGGGCUGCUUCAAAUAUUGCAAUGUUGAGGGGUUUAUGUGCAAAUGUCACUUGGGAGAGGUGUAUAUGUUGGUUAGGGCUUAUGUUAGGGUUCACCCACACACAAGAACUUUCCUCUCUCUCUCUCUAAAACCCUCUUUCUCUCUCUCCUCCUCUCUAGAGCUUGGAUCAAGGGAGGGAUUUGAAGGAGCAAAGUUGGAGUAGAAUUUUCCCAAGGUGGUGGCUAGCUUGUGCAAGAGCUUUUGGAGGAAAGCUUUGGAACUCUAAGGUGAGUUUCCAUCUUUUGAGCUAGGGUUUGGUCUUAUGCUUCUAGUAGUAGCAUCUAGGAGCUUCUAUGAGGGUUUUUCUCUAUAGUAUACAUGCUAGGGACCUAUAAUGGAGAAGAUGAUAUUGUUAAGGGACCCAAAAUUGGGGUUUUGUAAUUAUGAGGUCGAAGCGUGGGAUUGAUCUCCUUUUUACCUAAUUGGUAGGUCAACGAACGCGUUGGUGCACUUGGUUCGGCGAUACGACGCGCGUACGCGGAGAUAUUGAGGAAACAAGCUAAGUUGGUACGGUUCGUCGCAAUUCACGGCGUAGGGGGGGCUAAGUAAAUUUCAAGAAAUUGCAUUUCAGCAUUCUUGUAACACGAAUAGGUGGGGGGUGCUAUCCGGAAUCAUCGAAUUCGCUUCUAUGUCUAAGUCACUUUAUAUUGAACGUAUUUGUAUAUUCCAUUCAUGCAUAUAGGGUAGAGAAUAUGUGAUUGUUGGUUGAAAACUCAGUUAUAUGCUUCUAAUGUAUUUGAACAUAUGAAUUGAUAUCGAACCAUGAGGACUAUGUAUGUUGAACCCUAUAUGUGUGUGAAUGUGUGAGUUGGACUAUGAUAAUAGUGAAGAAAUGUGACAUUGACAUUAGCGACGAGAUUGGCUUUCAGUGGUGAGAUGUUGGACUUGAUCUAACCUAUUGUGGCAUUGUGGCAAAUAUAUUCUAGAGAAUGGAGUAAAUGACAAGUUAAGAACCUAAUGGUUCAUUGUGGCAUCGAGGCGAGUGGCAUAUGUGGCUAUCGUUCCUAAAGCGGGAAUUGGAUCAUACUCACAUGAGUCUUGGCUCUAGGGCGGUAGCUCCCCCUCGAGCGGUGCUUUCCGGAAAUGACACCACUGGGAGAGAGGUCCCAGAAGAUGGUCCCUCGGGUAGUAGUGCUUGGAGCCUCCCCGGAUGAUUGGGAUUUUGGGUUGUGAGUCGGGGUAAACCAGGAGCACCCCGUGAUGCUUAAUUGGAUAAAAGCCAUGUGAAUUUUUAUAUCAUGCAUGCAUGUAUCAUAUUUGAGUUUAUAUAUAUGCUGACUAUCUUUUUUGCAGGCAUAGUAUUAGUAGUAGCAUUAGUGGGUUUGCUAUAUCUAUUUCUUUGAAUACUUAUGCCUGGUUAGACCUAGUGGGUAAGUCGGCGGGGUCGGCGGCCGAACCCACUGGGAACUUUAUUUUAGUUCACAUUACCAUUAACCCUACAGAUCCGAGCGCGAGCGAGGCAGCGGAGGAUCGUGGCAAGGGUUUAGCGCCGUAGCUAGCGGCCACCAGAGUAUAGGCAUUUCCCUAUGUGUAUAGUUCAACUUUUGUAUGUUGAAUAUAAGUGAGAAAAGUUGUAAUCAUUAUUUUGGGUUGUAAGAUAAUGUGAUGUAAACAAUAUAUGGAAAAGAAUGGUUGUAAUAGUGCUUGUAUUUGAUUAAAAGGUAAUCAAAUAUGAUAUGAUGGUUGUAUGUAUAGUAUAGUAGUCAGAGCUUUCGCUACUUGUGUUGUUGCUUGCCUUCGUGCAAGCCUUGUGCAAUUAUGUUCACUUUGUGCUGAAAUUCUUGAUUCUACAUGUUGUUGGAGUCUUGGACGGACAGGGGAGGUGCUGUCCGUUCGGCGUCUGUCGACGUGGCCCGAUUCCGACCAAAUAGGCGGAGCUCGGGGCGUGACAGUACUAAAGUAAAUAUUCGAUAAACCUAUGUAGGGUAUCUGAAGUUUUUUAUAUAUAAUUUAACAAUAUAUUAACAGAGUAGCUGACGAAAAGAGAAAAUGAAACUACAGGGUACUAAAUUGAUACACUUUAAACCAUAGGGCACUAAAGUGAGAAAGUGCGAAACCAUAGGAUACUAAAUUGAUAUACUUUAAACCACAUAGUACUAAAGUGAAAAAGUGCGAAACCACAAGGGUGGUAUUUAAAGUGAGAAAGUGAGAAAUAGGGGGUGGAAACGAGCUGAGCUCGAGCGAGCUUACCUCGGCUCAAAUUCGGCUUGAAAUUAAUUUCGAGCCUAAAUUUAAGCUCAAGCUUGGAUUGAAAUUAAUUCGAGCCGAGCUCGAGCGAGCCUAAUUUUAAGUCGAGCGAGCUCAAGCCCUAAACGAGCCGCUUGAAAUUCUCAACAUUAUACGAUCAAUAGUUUAAUUUUUAUAGAACAUUAUCUAUAAUUUGAUACAAAAAUAUGUCUAAUAGUUCAAAGUACAAAAUAAUUAUAUGAAAUAUAGUAUUAUAAUAUGAAAAAAAAUAAUUUAUGGAGUGGGGUGAGAUAUCUAAUUUUUCAGUCUCCACAUGUCUUUUCUUCCGCCUUCAAUCUCUAUAUAUUAUUCAUUUUUAUUUAUGCAAUCAAAAAUAAAUAAAUAUAUAGAUAAAUAUUAGAUUAAACUAUCCAAUCAUAUAUAACUAAAAUUAAAAUUUUAUAUGAAUAAUAAUUUUUUACUUAAAAAAUAUUCUGUAUAUUUUCUCAAACAUACACAUUAAUAGCAAGGUAGGCAACCGGCGGCAUAUGAUUAUUAACUUGGUAACUUAGAGGGCUUCCGGCUUGGCCACUUAGGGUAAGAGACAGAAAAAGAGAAAGAAAGAACAUAUUGAAAUUUAGAGCUCUGUGAAAGAAAGAAAGAAAGAAGAAGAAAAAAAUAUUAUAAAUUAGUAAAAUUUUGCUCUUUAUUUGUCUAUUGGGUUUGUUUUAUAGGUCAACAUAUUGACUAUAAUUUUAACUAAAUUCAGAUUAUUCAACUACUAAUAUAUAAAUAUUAUAUUUAUUAUUUAUAUAUAUAAUUAUAUAUAUGUUUUAUUAUUAUAAUAUAUAUAAUAAAAUUAGUGUAGAACUACUAUGCUAUCGAAAAUAUAGAGGAUUUGAUGUUUUUGAAUUUUUGACCCUUUGAUUAAAAAUUGUAUGAUUGGGAUGAUUGCGGUCUCCCGUAGGAUUAAAUAAUACUCUUAGGAUUGAGUGGUCCCUACAAGGUAAUAAUAAUAUUAAUCGAAAGAUAAGAAACGAUUAAAGAGAUUGAUCUAAGAAUCAAAAAAUCGAAAGCACCAGACCUCUAUACUUUCGAUAGCAUAGUAGCUCUACUAUAUAUAUAUAUAUAUUCGAGCUUUUCGAGCUUUUCGAGCCUAAUUCGAACGAGCCGAGUAAUACUCAAGCUCUGCUUGAAAUGAAUUUUGAGCCUUUUUUUUGUUCAAGCUCGGCUCAUUUAAUUUCGAGUCGAGCUCGAGCGAACCAAAUAUCGAGUCGAACGCGAGUCGAACGCGAGCCGGCUCGCUCAUUUGCCAGCCCUAGUGAGAAAGUGUGGUAUCUAAAUUGAUGCACUUUAAACCACAGGGCACUAAAGUGAGAAAGUGUGAAACCACAGAAUACUAAAUUGAUACACUUUAAACCACAGGGUACUAAAGUGAAAAAAUGCGAAACCACAAGGGUUGUAUUUAAAGUUUUUCCUUAAUUUUAUCUACAAAAUGAUUAUCUUAUUACGAAAAAAUGACCUGAAUGUUGAAUGUAAAAUUUUCAUUCUAAACAUGUGAUCACACUCUUUAUCUACUAAAUGUUACAAGCUUCUUGAUUAAUUCGAAGAGAUAUGCCAAUAUGAAUACGCACGCAUCCAAACAAUGACUCUUGAUAGAAUAAUAUAUUUUAUUUACGAGAUGAUUAUCUUUUUAUGAAAAAAUGAUUCGAAAGGUAAAUAUAAUAUCUCAUUCUAAACAUCUUAUCACACUCUUCAUCCAUUAAAUGUUAUAAGCUUUUUGAUUGAUCCAAAUAGAUAUACUAAACAAGAUGUUCACGCAUUCAUAGGGAGGCUCAGAGUUGUACAUUUUAAUUAACCAAACAAAAGCAAUGAGAUCAAAUACAUGGCCCACAUUCUACAAAAAGACAUGGACAUCAAUAUGCAUGACUCAAAAAGUAUCCAAAGAAACAGCAUCACAGGAGAUGCUCAUAUACUUUUACAAAAAUAAUAUGUAAUGGUGAUGCAUGCUAAUACGCAACUAGGGUUUUUUUUAAUAUGAUAUGGGAGUAUUUAUUUAUUUAUUUAUUUAUAUAAUAAUAAAAUUAGGUUGUGUGGUUUGUUUAGUUGUUAGAAUAGAGUUUAUUGGAGGUCUCAGUCCAAAACUGAUCCAAUUAUGCUACAACAAAACGACACUCUGAUGCUUUUGCAGGUGUAUAGUACCUUUCAAACACUUCAGAUACAUGCUUUACAAGAGGAUUGAGGAUUCAAGGAAAAGUUAAAGGCAAUCAUUUUGCUAACUAGGUAAUGCAACAACGGACUUUUUUACAAAAUAACCCUCUAAAAUAUUAAAUUUAUGAAAUAAUUUUUCUAAAAUUAUAUUUAGAAAACUAAUUCUCUUUUCGCCAUGUAGGCACCAUUCUUGAUAUUUUUUAUGAGGCAGUGAAUCGCUUACCGCCUUUAGUAAAGCGAUGAAUCAUUUACCGAAUGAUUCACCGUUUUUCUAAUAUAACAAGUGUAGACGGUGAAUGAUUUACCGCCUUCAAGGCAAGCAAAUGAGCGAGUUGGCUCAUGUUCGACUCGCGUUCGGCUCGAUAUUCGACUCACUUGAGCUCUGCUCGAAUUUAUUUCAAACCGAGCUUGAGUAUUAUUGGGCUCGCUCGAAUUAGGCUCGAAAAGCUCGACAUAUAUAUAUAUAUAUAUAUAUAUAUAUAUAUAUAUAUAUAUAUAUAUAUAUAUAUAUAUAUAUAGAGAGAGAGAGAGAGAGAGAGAGAGAGAGAGUUAGGCUGGUAUACUAUCGGUAGCACAGAGGCCUCCGUGUUACCAAGUUGUUUUCAAUGAUGCGGCUUCCAAAUCGACGAUCGGCUUCGUUAAACUUGAUCUACACUAUUAAAAAUAUUUGAGAACUAAAUUUUAUAAUUUUUCGACAUCAUUUGGCUAGUGAUCAAAAGGUCUCAAAAUUGACAAUUUUAAUGGUAGAUGUGAUGCGUUUGUGAAUUUAACGGUAUAAAACAAUCUAAAUCUGAUGAAAUUUUUAGAGAAUUUUUUUUUUUUCACUAUUUAGAAUAAGAUCAGUACAUCUGAUCUUAAAUUCAAGUCUUUUAUCCUUAUUUUUUAUAAGAUUUUUAUUUUCACCUGUUUAUUUUUAGACUACUCAUUUGAUAGGUAAAUGAUGCCAAAAAAUUAUAAAAUUUAGUUUUCAAAUACUUUCAAUGGUGUAGAUCAAGUCUAAUGGAACCGAUCGUCAAUUUAGAAGCCGCAUCAUUAAAAACAACUAGGUAGCACGGAGACUAGUAACUUAAAAAGAAGGAAUGUUGAAGGGAUAAGUCUAGUAACUUAAGUAUUAUAGGAAUAUAUUUGUUAUUUCAUAUCUUUGCAAAGAGCCAUAUACAAUUAUCCCUAAAAAAAUUGCAUCAAUUAACUCCCUACAUUUUACUAUUAUCCUACAUUGGUCCAGAUACUUGGACUGGUCAUUGAACUUAGCUAUAAAACUAUAUAAAAAUAAGUUCGUAGAUGACAUUACUUUAAAGUAAUGCAAUAGAAUCAUAUAAAUUAACCAAAGUUGCUUCAGAAACUAUCAAUCUUAAUAGCAUUGAUGAUAGCAAAGAUAUCUUUUACAUUUUUUUGAGUUAUAAAUUAAAUAUAUGUUGAAAUGUGAAAUAAUGUGAUAUGCCAACUCCUUUUUAAAGUUCUAUAAUCCAAUUUGUCAAAUUUUAAAAUUUUUGGAUAUAUUUGGAAUGGGGAUAAAGUAUAAUUAAGUUGUUAAGUGAUGCAAUUUUUAAUGUAAAAAGAUAAUUGAUAUAUAGGCUAAAGUUGUGACACCCUAGAAAUUUAAAAUAGGCCUAUAGAUAAAAUAUAAUAGGUUAAAUCUCAUAAUCUAACUAUAGCAUUUUGGACGGUGGAUAGACCCAAGAGGUUAAGAGGGUUAAGCAUAUUAGAACUGGAGUAGUUCUAGGAUGGGUGACCCUCUGGGAAGUGGGGUGUCGCUGUUAGUAUCAAAGUCAAUCACUAGCCAGAAAUGUAAACUAAGUCUCAGCUGAGCCGAGGUUAUACAAUGAGUAAAGCGUCGCUCCCUAACUGAUGAUGACUGUUGUGAUUAGAGUACGGCUCCCCACAAGGUCAGCUUAUAUUAGUGAGACGAGUCUCACAUUACCUAGUGCUUGUGAAUAUGGUUAAGCCUGACGAGAACUCAGGCUUAAAAUGAGGAACAAUAUGACACCCCAAGAAUUUAGAAUAGCUCUAUAUAUAAAAUAUAAUAUGAGUAAGAAUUUAAGUACCGUGGCACAAGAUUGUGUCAGAAACUUGUCUGCAUGAUAUGGCACGGUGCCUGCCGAUGCGGGUCGGUCACAAAAAAUAUAUGUGUGCCGACACAUAAUAACAUAAAAUAUUUAUUUUCGUUAGCAACAAAAAAUGCUAAUUAUUUAUUAUAUUUUUAUCAACUCUUUUGAACUUUAUUGAGAAAAUUACUUACUAAUUUCAAAAAUAGAGGGUUUUGAGUUGUGCCAUCGGCACGGGGGUUAUAUGUCACGCCCGGGUUCUAGUGGAAGCUUACCCGGUACAUGUACAGACCCGCCAUAUACCUGAAGUAUACAAGGCGUCUACUAAAAUCAUGCUAGAAAAGUAACAGUCAAUAGAAGAGUCUAAUAUGGUAUCAGAGUAUAGAAUGUACAAAAUGUACUAGAAGUACUAAAAGCAAGAGUGUAAUAUAAACAGUAUCUACUAAAGAUACUAGGAAGCAGGAGCUUAAAAUUGAAAAUACAACUCUCCAACAACAUUCAUAUAACACACGAUCACAAAAGAGCUAUAUAUACAUAUGGUGGUCUCUAUAUACGGAUACAAUAUCACCCUCGUCUACACAACCAGAAUAGCGAGGUGAUCACCUAACGGGACUCCAAGCUAUGCCUAGCUAGACGCGACUCCCUUGCCGCGAUCCCUAGCCUCUCCCGCAAUGGAUAGCUCUGUAAAUAAGACAACAAUAAAUAGGGCGUGAGAACUAUUAGUCAAUAGUUCCCAGUGGGUAAACCGCCGACCUCAGCGAAUUACACCACUAGAUUCAUAUAUAAAGAGAAAGCAUGUACAACUACAACAUGAUAGGAAUACAAUGGUAAUAAGCAACUAAUUAGUAAUAAAACUACUAUAUUUCCAAUGCAACAACUAUGAUGCAACAGGUAAAGUAACUACUCUACACAAGUAAGCAGGCUAUAUCAUCUCAUAAAUGCACACUAUCUAGUAGUGACCAUUAUAUCAAUACAAUUUAGUAUCUUUGUUCAAUUCAUAAGAAUCUACACAAGAUAGUCCGGCUUGCGCCGCGCCUAAUGGCCCCGUGGUAGUAAACACUCCUCACGGCAAUCCACUUCGGCACCCAAUCCUGCACGGGCCAGUACGAUGUCGCGUAGGCCAAAUCCGGAGUGCCGGCUUGUGGAGAGCGACCCUCACAAGUAUGUGCAAAUGAGCACAAUGACAAGCAAGCAUGAUCCAUAAUAUAAGGUUCUCAAUCGUCAUGUCUCAAACAUGGAAUGUCCUCUACCGACCUAUAGGUCGGGAUCUAAGUACAAUAUCAAGUGCUAGUUAUCAACUAGAUCAUAGCUAGUAACAUGAAAUUCAUGCUAGUUUUAUCAAUUAUAUGUUGAGUUUAACUUGUCUACACAAGUAUGCUAACCAUUCUAUAGUACAUAUUUUAUAAGUUCAAUGCAAAUGCAAGAACCAAUAGAUUAUAAUAACAACAUGCCAUUCUUGCUAAUCUAAGCAUAUUAUAUUCAUUCGCAACUUGUCUACACAAGUAUAUUCCUUAUCAUGCAAGGAAUUUAAUACUUGUAGCUCUCUACUACACAGAGUAUAACUUGUCAUAUGAUGUAAGUAUUACUAAUACAUCCAACAAUUCACUUAUGAUGCCGUUAGCAAAACAUAUGCAUAAGUCUAGCUCUAUGUCAAGAAUAAGAACAUAGGGGGAAUUCAUCCAUUUCGGUGAGGUCAAACCCACCAAAUACACGUCGACUCCUGUCCGAUCACUCAAGAGAAGAUGCCCAAUAGCUUUCCCAGCAACCUAUCACAAUUCUAAACUAAUUAAGAGCUUCGAUUAAGCUCUCUACCAAGAACUUCAACAGUUUCCCCUAGUAUAGGUAGAAUUGUACCUCACUUAGAACCAAGCUUGAUUCUAACCUCAAUUCAGGUUGGAGCACACCCAAUCCAACCUACAAGAGUCACCAAAACUCAGCCAAAAGAGUUCCAUAAUCCUGCUGUGAGCUAAUACCAAGAACUCCACCCAUACUACUACUAAUACAUCAAACUAGAGAGAGAUUAGGUAGUAUACCUUCCAAAGCUCCAACUCAGAUAUUCCCUGUGUUAGGGUUGAAGAAACAUUGCCAAACACCUCUUCCCACAUUUCAAAAGUUGCUCCACAAGUCUCCAAACCAGCUAGCAACAAGAGAAGGAUAAAAACAAGCUCAAAUCCACCAAUUUUCACUUUCAAUUGGCUAAGACCCUAGAGAGAGAAAGAGAAUAGGUCUUAUCCUGUUCUUCAGCUCAAACACAAUAGAAACCAGCUAGGGGGGUCGACCUGGGGCUUAAAGGGAUAAGCAUUAGAGUGAAUUUACCAAAAAACCCCUUAUCCACAAACUGCUGUAUUGGGUACCGGUACUCGGGCAUGGGGGUACUGGUACUCAAUGCAAAAAAAAAAAACCAGACUUCGAGUUUUCAAUGCUAAAUCACUCCUCCGGCCACUUACACUCCAGUGACAUGCCGAUAAGCUCUCAACAACCCCUCACGAGAUCUAGAAUAGUUCCAAUUACUAUUCUAACACUAGAACUUCGCAAUUUGCUCAAGUUCAGUGUACUACAUUAUAUCAUGGCGAUAUCUUGCUGGCACGAUACGACACAGUGGAUAUGGCACAUAUCGAUAGGCACUUUAAUCCUUGAAUAGAAGUAAAUCUCUUAAUCUGGCUAUAACAUUUUGGGCGGUAGAUAUACUCAAGUCGUUAAAAAGGUUAAGCAUGCUGGAACAUGAGUAGUUUUAGGAUGGGUGACCCCCUGAAAAGUGGGGCGUCACAAAUGUAAAGAGAUAAAGUGAAACUUUUUGAAUCAUAGAGUGACAAAGUAAAAAAGAACUAGACCAUGACAUAGUGUGCACUAGAAUUUUGAUUUUGUGACGAGGGUUAGAUAAUAGAAGGGAAAACUUCAAAUACCAAUCCUGUGGUUUCACACUUUCUCACUUUAUACCCUGUGGUUUAAAGUGUAUCAAUAUAGUGCCCUGUGGUUUCAUUUUAAUCUUUUUAUUAUCGAUUUUACUAAUUUUUUUUAUUAAAUUAGUGACAAAAUUAAAAGUAAAGGGUACUAAAGUGAAUAUUCGAUAAACCUAGGUAGGGUAUCUGAAGUUUUUGGUAUAUAAUUUAACGAAAUAUUAACGGAGAAGCUGACGAAAAGAUAAAAAUGAAAUCACAGGACACUAACUUGAUAAAUUUUAAACUACAGGGUAUUAAAGUGAGAAAGUGCAAAACCACAUAGAUGGUAUUUGAAGUUUACCCAUAAUAAAAACACCACAAACCACUUGAACUUUUGCUCCUUUGGAGAUAGAUAGCUAUGUGAAUUUGGAAACUUUCAUAUUUACAAUGCAACUUUCAAUUUCUCAACUAACACUUAUAAAAUUCUAUUCCAUCAACUAAAAUGUUUAAAUAUUAGCCAAAUCGACAAAAAUACCAAAGGAGGCUUAGGUUGUGUUUGGUUCCACGUAAAACUGUGGAAAAAAAAAUUUUCGAUGGAAAAAAAAUUUUCGGUGGAAAAAAAAGUUUUAUGUCGUUUGUGUCUGGUUUGAAGGAAAAGAAAAAUAGUUUUCCAUGACGAUUGUUUGGUUGAAAGAAAAAGAAAAGUAGAUAAAAAUUAUUUAAUAUAUUUUUUUAUUAUAUAUAUUAUUAAUAUAUAAUAAUUAUUAUAUUAAAUAUAUUAUUAUUAUUAUUUUUAUUUAUAGAUUAAAUAUAUUUAAAAUUAUAAAUAAACAUAUUCCAUAAUUAUAUAUUUAAGAAUAUUAAUAAAUAAUUACAAGUUUAUAAAUAUUUAAGAUUUUUUUUUUUUUUUAGGGGUUCGAGUUGCCCCACUCCUGUAGCCAGUUCAUUUGUCUAAUGAAUGAAGCGGGUAGCGUGCUACCUUUCUCUAAAAAAAAUUAAUAAUUACAAGUUUAUAAAUAAAAUAUUAUAUAAUAGUAUUUUUAUUACAAAAAUAAAUUAUUAUAUAUAAUAAAUAUAUAUUUAUUAAUUGGUUUGUUGGAUUUUAGACUUCAAGAGGAAUCCACGAAGUCUAAUAUUGCAGAUUUUGGUGAAGGUUAGCUUGGUCGAACUCAAGUUCUUCUCUGCUGCUGUUGUUUUGGGCAGAUUCUUAAGUUUAUGAGUUUUCUUUAAUGCUAUCUUUGGAGGCAGGGAGAUUUUGGACCUGAGCUUGAUAUCUCAGUAUACUCCACUGGAUUUGAGACCCUCCUCACCAGAUUUGGAUGUGAUUAGGUGAGUUUUGACAUUGGAGUUGGAUUAAUUAAGCUUAAGUACUGAAAUUAUAGUUAUAUUGAUGGAUUUUGAUCCUGUUAAGGUUUGGAGUUUGGUGAUCUCUUGUUGCUGGACUUGGAGGAACUUCGGUAGAUCCAGUAGGGAUUCUUAGUGGUUCGAGACCUCCUUGCUGCCAGGAAUUGCAUUUGAGGUCGGUAUUUCAUCGGUUUUGCUCCUAAGUGCUUGUGUAGUCGACAUGUAUGAUUUCGGUUCUUGUAUAUCAUGUUGUAGCUCAAAUUCAUUGAUUGUAGCAUGUAUGAAAUCUGAAUUGGGAGCAUGACUAUUAAUUAGAUGAAUAUACAUGUUGGACUUGGAAUUUGACUUAGGAGAAAACCAGCGAUUUGACCCGUCAUAUGCUUAUACUAUCUGAUUUAGCUCUAAGAGUCGGAGUUGGUUUAUAUCACCGCAGUUUCAGCGCGGUGGAUACUCAAGGUAGUUUAGAAUACAUUUACACUCGUGCGAGAUGCCGAGCUUGGGUAAUAUUCAACCGUAGGUUCUACACUAUCUUUUUUGUUCGCUCCUUAAGCUUUUGUGCUUUGUAUCCACGCUGUUAGUGCGCAUUUGAUACUCAGAUAGCUUCUGAAGCUGUUGUGCUUCGUAUCCUCGCUGUUAGUGCGCAUUUGAUACUCAAAUAGCUUCGGGAGUUGUCACGGAUAGUAUCCACACUGUUGUGUGCAUUUGAUACGCUGAAAGCUUAGGAGUUGUAAUAGAUCUGUAUCACCGCAGUUUGUUGGCGGUAGAUACCUGGGAUAGUGUAGAAUGCAGUUACGCUGGUGCGGAGAUGCCGAGCUUAUUUUUACAGCAGUGUCUAGGUUGUUUCGGACUGUCGGAUGCCGUCGGGGUUGACGGUGGACCCAGAUUGCGAGUUUUGCAUUAGAUUGUGCCGAAGGCACGUGAGUUUUGAUUGUUGGACCAGUUGGACCCUUCUUACUUGAUUAUAGCCUGUGAGAGCCUGAUUGAGCUCAGUAGAGAUACGCUUGCAUACUCGGUUUGGUAGCGCCCACGAAUGCCACUCCGGAGUCGGGCUUUGUGCGUUUGCGUUGUGUAGUGUCCUGGUUGGACUUGCUCUCCACGGACUGAUUAGUGUGGAGGUAGCAUUUAGGAUUCGAUAGGCGGGACGGGUGCGUUUACAGUCCUUGGGACAUGUGUGUUCAUAGUCCCUAUGGAUUUGGGUCUGAGGUUGCAUUACUCUACAGAUAGUAGUGUUGGAUCAUGAUAGGAUAGUGGCAUAUAGCUGUAAAUUUGUUCCAGCUUCCUUUUUUAUCACUGAGCUUAGAUCUGUAGAGUUAGUGGGUGAGCCGAUGAGUUUGAGGGCGGUACCCACUGAGGACUACUUCUUUUGUAAUAGUUCUCACGCCCAGUUGUUACCCCUGUUUUGUAGAGUCUUCUGUUCCGGCUGCUGCUUCUACCGAGACCGAUCGUGGCAAGGGCGUUGCGAGUUUGAGCCCUUCCAGACGAGUCGCCGAGCUAGAGGAGUAUUAGCUACAGGUAGUUGUAAUUUUUGGUUCUUUACAUACUGAUAUUGUACAUCGCUGGAGCGAAUGUUUUUGUACCAGGUUGAUAUGUAUGUAUCAAACCACUGUUUUAUAUAUGGUCUAAUUUUUCUAGCAGCUCUAUACUACUGUUUGUAGUAUUGUUUGAUUACAGAUACUUCUACUGUUUCGCUUCGUAUACAGGAAAAAUUCCUAUAUAUACGGCGAGUCUGUUAGCGUACCCGAAAAAACGAGUAAUCCGAGACGUGACACUCUCACACAGUCCACGAGGCCAAAGUGGCCUCGUGGACCGCACAAUGUUUUGCCUCUCAUGAGCUGCGAUUUUAGCCGCUGCCUUUUCGUUUACCGCUGCUCUCGCGCGGAAAACUAAAAGUAAGUUUUUCCCAACAUAUGUAAAAUAAGUUUUUCCAGAAAAAUUUUUUACCUCCAACCAAACAAGCUACAAAGUAGUUUUCGUAGAAAAAUUUUUUUCCGCCCACUUUUACGUCAAACCAAACAUGACCUUACCAAAAAUAUAUCGAGUAUUUCUCCUUUCGAAAGUCAUUGUUGUGGAUAAAAGUUAACUACAAUUAUCACAUUUAGUUCUUGCCAAAUUGGACUAUAAACCUUUAUUUUGGUAACACGAUCCCUAAACUUUACCAAAUAAUUUAAGGGAAGUCAAUAAUUAAGGGUAAGAUGUUUAAAGACUCUCUGAACUUUAGUUCUUUUGUAAAUAAGCACUUGAACUUUCAAUUUUGACAAUUACAUUUCCUAAUUAUAAAAUAAUUUUGAUCAGAUGUCGUGCUCUUAAUCCUGUAAGCUUCAAACUAUAAAAAAAUUAUUUUUCCUCUCUCAAUUUCAAUAUAGCAUGACAAUUGAAGAAUAGAUUGAAUCGAGCUUUAAAUUUUAUUACUUUUUUUAUAUGCUAGAACACAACAAAUAUAUUAUUUGUAUUUCAAAUAUUUAUGCAAUACAUACAGCCAAAAUAAUUAUAUAAAUAAUAAUUAAAAUUAAAAUUAAAAUUAAAAUUAAAAUUUUAACCUACCAUCUCUAAGUUAAAAUUUAGGGUACAUUUCAAAUACAUCCCCUGUGGUUUCGCACUUUCUCACUUUAGUACCCUAUGGUGUAAAGUGUAUCAAUUUAGUAUCCUGUGGUUUUAUUUUUCUCUUUUCGUCAGCUCCUCCGUUAACAUUCGUUAAAUUAUAUACAAAAAUCUUCAGAUAAGGUUUAUCGAAUAUUUAUUUUAGUACCUUUUAGUUUUAACUUUAUCACUGAUUUAACGAAAAAAAAUUAGUGGAGGGAAUAAUAAAAAGAUAAAAAUAAAACCACAGAGUAUUUAAUUGAUACACUUUAAACCACAUGAUAGUAAAAUAAAAAAGUGCAAAACCACAAGGAUGAUAUUUGAAGUUUUUUUCUAAAAUUUACGUUAACCGACCGUCUCUAGUGUAAGUGACAGAGGGCUUGGUAGUUGGUAUAUGAGGUUUUAAGACCCGUCUGGAUUGCUACCGUGUAUUAUUUAUUUUUUUGGCCAUUUGACUAAUGUUUGUCAUUUUAAAUUGACUUAAUCAAACCUUAUGCUUAAUUGCAAAAUUUUAAAUAUAAAAUUUUAAAGUUUAGACAGCUAUUUGCAAACAAACUCUUACUAAUGUGUUGAUGCCAUGUUUAUUGUCAAUCAGAUAUUCAGCUUCGUUUGGUUCGAAUAUAAAUAAAAAUUAUUUAUUUCAGGAAUAAAUAUAAGUUCAGAUAUAAACAAAAACUGGAGUAAGUUUUUAUUUGGAUAAAAAUUAAAUUGUUUCUAAAAAUAAGCUAAAUAGUAUUUGGAUGGUUAGAUUGGAAUAUCGAAAAUAAAAAUAAUUGUAAUUUUAAAUUAAUAUUAUUUUAUCUAAUUAAUUAAUAUCAAAAUAUUAAUUAAAAAUAAUUUAAAUAAAUAAAAAAAAUUAUUAGCUAUGAAUAUUGUAUAAGAUAAUAAAAAAAUAUUAAUUAAUUAUAUUAACUAAUUAUAAAAUAUAACUUAACUUUUGAAAUAAUUAGUAAAUUAUUUAAUUAGUUAGAUGAGUUGUUAAGAAAUUAAUUUAAUUAGUUAAUAAAUAUAAAUAUUAAUUAUUAGAUAAACACAUUAAAUAAUUAAUUCUUAAUGAGCUAAUUAACUACGAAUGAUUAAUUACUUAACUAUUUAAAUAAUAGAUAAUGACUUAAUUAUAUUAAUUAGAUGAAUUAACAAGUUAGUAUAAUAAUUAAAAUUAGAUUUAAACUUUAACUAAGCUUGCUCCCAAGCUUGUUCUAGGGGAGGAUGGAAUAGUUGUUGCACCCUUAUUCUCCCUUAUUUAUAAUCAUGGAACAAUUUCUUUAACCCCAAAUAAAGAGUUUGGCCUAUUUAAUAUAGCUAUUUUUUUUUAUUGUUAUUUCAUCAGAAAUUUUAAUUUCAUUUUAAUUAUCCAUGGCCCUGUUUUAUCAUUGUGCACUUUGUCCUUUAUAGUGGAGUAAUGUCCAGUAUGCUUAGGUGUAUACAGGAAAAGAUAAAUUUUUUUUAAUAAAAGUACCAUAAAUGUAACUUUUCAUUUCUUAUUUAGUAUAAACUUAUUGAAAAUGGAAGUAUAUCAAACUAUUAUUCUUGGGUACAUGCAUGAGUCGAGUAGUUUAAUUCAAAUUCUCAUUUGAAUAAAUUGGUUUAAUGUCUAAUGCAUAGAAAAUUUGUUUAUAUCUAUCGUUCAAUAAAUUUCUGCCUGAAAUUGAUCACUAUUUUUUCUUAUUAGAAAAUAAUUUUUUAUAUUUUGCGAAUGUUUGAUGGAGAUUUGAUGGAGAAAGUGAUGGAAAUUUUGCUAAUUAUUUAUUUGCUAUUUUAGACCAAACUUAUCUUGCCGUUUCUGCUGGGAUUUUUGCAUAAAUUUAAUGACAUCACAUAAAAGACAAUGAUAUCACAUAUAGGCAAUAAUAUUUGGUAUCAUUUUUUUUCCUUUCCUGAUUAAUUUCGUUAUAUUUUUUUAAAGCGUGUACCUAUUAUCAACUUUUAGUGAAGUGAGACAAAUGUCUAUCACUCCAGUUUGAAUUUUCUACUCAUUUUCCACUUAAUUUUUUUUUCUUAUUUUUUUGAGAGAGAUAGUGUGCUGUCUGUUUGCUUAUUUUUUUAGAAAUAAAUUUAGCAACAAAUAUGAAGCAAGCAACUAGGCUUCGAAUUUGAAACUUCAGAUAUCAACGCCAUUGUCGCUUGCAUAGGGAUGUAAAACUAGCCGGAUGGCCCGGCACGACCUCAGGCUGGGCUGCAGCACGGCAUGGAUGCUGUAGCACGGCACGAAUGCUGUAGCACCCGUGCCAGCCUGGCCCGGUCUGAACUUUAGGGCCAUGUUGGGUCUCUCCCCUUGGGCCCGACGGCAUGACACAAAACGGGCCUUGGCGGUGCCGGGCCGGGCUGAGGGGAGGGGAGGCUCGUGGCUAGGGAUGUAAUGUGGGCCGUGCCGGCCCGGCACGGCCCACAUUUCUCGGGCUGAAACAGGCCGGAGGCCAGCCCGGCACGGCCCGGCCCCAAAAUCGGGCCAUGCCAUGCCGUGCCGUGCCAUGCCGAGCCAAAGUUCUUGGAACCCCGCCCAACACGGCCCCCCGGCCCGGACUGCACGGGCCGUGCAGGGCCGGGCUGGGAUUCGGGCGAGGCCUUUUUUAUUUUAUUAAUUUUAUGUAAAAUGUUUAAUUUUUUAAAAAAAUAAAAAUAAAAAUAUUAUUUUUUUAAAAAAUAAUAUAUUAAUAAAAAAAUUAAAAUUUUAAAAUAUAUUUAUAAAAAUAUUAAAAUUUUAAAUUUUUUGGAUCAAAAUACCCUCCCAACAGUCGAAUUUUUGACUGUUGGAAAGGGCAUUUUAGUCCAAGCCCAACUCCUAAGGAUCUGUUAUGACAGAUCCUUGGGAGAGCCCCAAAGCCACAGCCCAACUCCCAAAGCAUUGGGAGUUGGGGUGGUGCAGGGCCUUGGGAUUUGGAUUGUACCCAACUCCCUGUACCCAAGUCCCUGCCUGGGCCUGGCUCUGGAGGCCUUGGCCACACGGGACAGGCCGGGCCGUGCCGUGCCGAGCCAGGCCGUGGUACCCUCUCAGGCCCGGCACGGCCUAGGCCCGUAUCGUGCCGUGCCACCGGGCCGCGGGAGUAAAGCCCAGCACGACCCGAUUUAACUGGCCGGUCCGGCCCAGCAUGGCAUACUACAGUACUCGUGCCGUGCCUGGCCCGGCCUACUCUCGUGCCGGGCCGAGUGGGCCAAGGGCCGCUCGACCCGUUUGACACCCCUACUCGUGGCACGACAUGGCAUAGCCCGAACCCUAAGGCCCAAGGCAACGUGCCUUAGGCCUUAGGGUCUAAGCUCCUUAGGAGACGAGGAAUUCUAUACUAUCACACUUACACCACGUCAUCAAUAACAAGCCAAUCACAUUCCUUUGUUUCAAACAAAAGUACAAUAAAAAUAUAUUUUUAUAAUCAUGAUGGGACAUAUACCCCAAAAAGGAGACAUUUGAUUGGUUUGUUACGCCACGUCACCAAUAUAUCCGUUACAUUCUAGAAUUUUUCUUAGGAGACAGGCCAGCCCUUCUUCCCAGGAGCUAUCCUCAUAAGGUCUGUGAUGGCAGACCUUGGGAAGAUAGUUUUUUGGUCCAAUGGACCAAACUUGUUUGGUCCAUUGGACCAAAAGCUAUCUCAAUUCUUUUUUAAAAAAAUAUCAAUUUAAGUACAAAUAAUUUAUUAUUUAUAUUUUAAAUAUUGUAUAUUUUUUUAAAAAAUAAAAAAUAAUAAAAACUUUAAAGGGCCGGCUUGGAGCACGGCCUUGCACGGCCCGUGCCUUUCGGGCCCAAAGGUCAUGCUGGGCUAGAGACUUAGUAGCUUCGGCCCGGCACGGUACGGCAUGGUACGGCCCGGAUUUGGAACCAGGCCGGGCCAGGCCCCUAGCCCGAAUUGGCCCGACUAACGUGAGUCAUGCCGGGCCAGGCCGGCCCCUAGCCCGAAAUGGCACGGCUAAUGUGAGUCAUGCCGGGCCAGGCCGGCCCCUAGCCCGAAUUGGCCCGGCUAAUGUGAGUCAUGCCGGCCCGGCACGGCCCACAUUACAGCCCUACACUGUCGGAUCGUUGGCGCUAACCAUUAAUCCCAAAAGCUCGAGCUGUUAGAAAUACGCAACCAAUUCACUUAAAGCGUACAGAAACAGCGCCCAUGGGUCUCGAUUGUGACUUGGCCCACCUGGCCUCACGCCACUUCGAACAUGACUCGGUCCAACCCAGCCUCACGCCAUUUCGAACAUGACUCGGCCCACAUGGCCUCCCGCCACAGGGCAGGAUGCUGGCCCAUUUAAGCCAACAAUCCCCCCUCCAGCACCUGCACACAUUUGCAGCAUGCAGGAAUCGAACCCGUGACCUCUGGCUCUGAUACCACUUGUCGGAUCGUUGCCGCUAACCAUUAAUCCCAAAAGCUCGAGCUGUUAGAAAUACGCAACCAAUUCACUUAAAGUGUACAGAAACAGCGCCCACGGGUCUCGAUUGUGACUCGGCCCACCUGGCCUCAUGCCACUUCGAACAUGACUCGGCCCAACCCAGCCUCACGCCAUUUCGAACAUGACUCGACCCACAUGGCCUCCCGCCACAGGGCAGGAUGCUGGCCCAUUUAAGCCAACAUACACUUGCACUAGUCAGUCACUAAAUAGUAUUUCCAAUGUUGAUUCACAAGGUUCAACAAGCAAUCAUGCCCAUUGGUGUUCCGAAAGUACAUUUUCGGAGUCUUGAAGAGAAAGAUGUGAUUUGGGUUGAAGUAUAGUGCGACUUGUUAGACAUAUUGGGCCAUAUGGGAUUUGCAAUUUCUCUCUCCUGAUCGAGAUAUCUUCUGUUGCAGUUAAGCUCCAUUCUGCCUUUGCACUCAAGGAACAACCACUAGUCACUUCUAGUAGAAAGAAAGUAUCGUCGUAAUCUAAUAAUAGAACGAUUUGUUCUUCGAACAGUGAAAGUAAAGAAAGAGAGAAACAAAUAAAGAAAAAAACUAGGCGGUAGAUUGAUAGAAACUUCUGGUAAAAUACCCACCAGUACCCUAACAGAUAAAGUACAUUAUAUAGUCCGUUUUAAGGAUUGUCGACUUACUCAUUCAAUGACUUCAGUACUGGACAUUACUAAACUAAUUCUCUUAAUUGGUUUUUAUUACCCAGUAUCCAUCAAAAGAAUCAAUAGAGGAAGAAUAGUAUGGGAAUAUACUAUAGCAAAAGAAAACAAAACCAAGGAAUUUUUCCUGAUUUUCCAUCCCAAAAAGUCAUUGAUUGAGUCAUUAAUAGAUUAUUUACGAAGUUCUAUGGUAAUUUUUUAGAAAAUCUGUUUCAAUUGUCCUGCAGAUUGACUCCCUAGCCUCUGAGUCAGCAUCAAAGUACCAACCAACUCUUCGAAGCAGUAUGACUACAACGAAUAUAGAUAGAGAAGUUCAAUUAUCCUCCAUCUAGAUGGAUUGAAAAUGAGAGAACGAAAGAAAAGAAAAGAAGGCAAUUUUUUUUUCGUUGUUUGAAUUAAGGAAAGAAACAAAGAAAAAAUAAUUUUUGUUUGAACUAAGAAAAGAAAAUAGGAGAAAAUAAUUUCCUUUUUCUCACUUUUGGAGAGACAAAAAUCGACUGUUAUAAAAGGUCAUUUCCUCUCCAUAUCUCAUCAUUUUCUCUUUCUUUCUCCUCACAUUUCAAUCCAAACAAAAGGGUUUUCUAGUCUAAUUACUUUUAUUUUCUUUUCUUUUAUCUCCAUCCAAAUGGAGUGUUAGCAUUAUAAUGGUCACAAGUGCAAUGCAAUAAAAACACUAGUUUUGAUCAUAGUAGGUUGCUCUGCAAUCCUAUAAAUUUCACCUCCCUGGUAAUAUGGCUUUGUCCCACAUGUUAUUGCCAUGAUUAAAAAAUAGUGAGCCCUUGGGCCUGAGCCUAAACAAAGCCCAAUCCACGGUUCGACUUUCGGGUCGGACCGACAUGCCAAUUCCCACAACUUUCCAUGCUUAUAUCAUAGGGGCCCCAUUUGGGAUUGACGGUCAUCCAACAAUAUUAGCGCAAAAGUAUAUAAAAAUAUGAUUCUUCGUAUUUCAUUGAAACCGCGGAAGAUAUCCGCAAACAAACAGCAUCUUUUUCUAGUCGUCUUUUCCCACUGCAUGUAACACAAUCUAACUGUAAUUCCAAAUAGAGCAUUAGACACUCUAUAUCCCCUUGCUUUUUAAAAUUUUCUUUCGUUGAGUAACAUUGUAGCAAUAAUAAAUCAUGCCAUUUUUCAAAAGAUACAUUCUCAAAAGUAUACAACUUUUGAUUUUUGAAUAUGAAUUUUAAUGCUUUCUUUCAUCAUGCUAUUUUAGAAUAAAUUGGAUCAAACAGGAAUUUAGCCUAACAAUGGCCAAAUAGGUAUUACACUUUUUAGCCUACAUAAUUUUUAGAGUAUUAAGAGUUCAUACAUAAAUAAUCUCACAUCGGAUAUUUAUAAAAGAGUUAUACGGUUGAUAUAUAUACUAGUGGACCCUGAUCUCAUAGGCUUAGGUUUUUAGGUUGAAUGAGUUUUAUUAGAUACGCCACAUUCUACUGCUCAUAUGGAUCUGGGUUGAGUCCAGGACUUCCUAACAAAUUGCAUCAGAGCCAAUAAUUUGAUGAUUCUUUACUAUUCAACUAAAUAGUGUUAUACGAUCGAGUUGGUGGCUCUUACGAACAUAACGAUUUCGCAGAGUGUCGUCAUAAAAUGUGAUAUAAUGAUUUGGUGCACUCAAAAGAAUUGGGCUCGAGAGGCGCAGGUUAGGCGCAUAGGCUUAGAUGAUUAGCGCGUUUAAUAUAGUCAGAUCCGAGAUUGAGGCACAUACAAGUGAUAUCAAAGCCUAUAGUUUGAUAAUUCUAGGCUAGUAUUUAUCUAAAUGGUAUUGUGCAAUCGAGUUAGUGGCUCUUACAACAUGAUGGUUUUGCAAAGUGGAGUCAUGAAACAUGAUAUGGCAUUUUCGUGUACUCAAAAAAAUUGGCUCUCUGAGAUGCGAGUUAGACACAUGAGCUCAAAUGAUUGGUGCAUUUAGUAGAGUUGAACUCGAAAGACAUAUGGGUGCAUGAGUUCACAAUGACUCAUAAAAAAACCUCACAAAACAUGUCUUGAAGAAGAGUCAAAAGUAAAAGAUUUGAGUUUAAGAGGGGAGUCACUACAACAAAAAUGGUCUAUAGCGACACUUUUAAAUGUAGGUACAUGUCAAAAAAGUGCUGCUAGCUAAAAUUACCGACACUUUUAAAAAGUGUUGCUAUAUGUGGGGUCGCUAGGUAUAUAGUGACAGUUAAAGAGUGUCACUAUAACCUAAAAAAGUGUUGCUAAUUUACCAAAACUUAUUUAAGCAUUUAACAACCGCCGAAACUCUAUCUCGUUGGCUGCGGUGGCGGAGGAGGACGACAGGAAAGGCUCUUCGUCUAGAAUUUCAGUGAAUUCAGUGAAGAGAGAAGAAAAGAUGGUAAUUGAUUUUUCUUUUUCUUUUUUUUCUUUUCAGUUUGUAAUCGGGCCAAAUGGACUGGGUGUGGUAGGUUGAAUAGAGUAAUCUUUUAUUUUUAGUUGUAUUGGGCUUUAUAUUUAGGCAUUAGUAGAUAUUUUUUUAAGUUUUAGCAUAAAUGGAACACUUACUCAAAAGUAUCCCAAACAUGUGUCCCUAUAACCUAAUUCUGUUGUAGUGAGUUCUCAUGUAAAAAAGGAAAAAUAUUAUGAGUUCAUAUAUGAAUAGUUCUAUAUCGGAUAAUUAUACUAGUUGGCCUACAUCUUAUAGCUAGGCUUAUGCUUUUAGAUUGAUUGAGUUACCGAUUAGAUUUGGUUCGAGAACCGCUUUAUUCUUUUCUUUAUCUUUGUUUUUUUUUUUGAGAAAAACGAAAAUCCACAUUGUUGAUCAGUUUAGUUUUAUUUUGAUUUUUUCAUAUUCGAUUUGGAUCAGUCGAGUCUACUUUUAAUUUUUCUUGUUAGCUGAACCAAACUGAAACCAAACCAAAGAUGAGGCAGAGAUGGGCUGUUUGUGAGCACGAUGGAGGUGGAUUAUCUCGUUUAGAAAGGAAUGGGAUUUACGGAAGUUAGGGCAUGUUUGUUUCAUAAUUGAAAUACAAUUAAAUUGCAUUAGAAUGAAAAAUGAAAUGAUGAAUUAUUAAAAAAAAUUGAUUUAUUAUUGGAUAAAAAUCAUAAUGGACAUUUAUGAAUUUGAGAGAGGGCUUUGGUUAAGAGACAAAACAGUGAUCAAGGGAGAGGAGAGAGAAGAUUUUGUAUGGUUUAUUUUGAAAUCUUCGAAACCAAAAUUCAGAACCGGAUUGGAUCAUAAAUAAAUUAGGCCAUUCUAUUACAGAAUGGACUGAGAAUCGAAAUCUAAUUCUUAUAAAAUAAACAAUAACUAUCAAAAUUUAUAAAUCUCAUUCUGAUUUUAUAACCUAAAAUAAGUGAAUUAAACAAACCCUUACUAUACUUGUAAAACCUUCAAAUCUAAUAUCUUAUUACUAAACUACUUGUGACUUUAUUUUUUGUAAAUAUUAAUCGUACAUCUCUUAUAGGGGUGUAAAUUUUAUACCUCUGAAACCUAAGAUUGAUAAAUUUUUUUAAAAAAAAAUUAGAAAAAAAAGAAGAUAUUAGAUUUGAAGGUUUUANUGCGUCGAACUCGAAAUCCGUUUCCACCCCUAGUUGGUUGUAACUCUUAUAUGUCCUUCUAAUAUAUAAAUCACAUAUAAGUUUAAUAUUUUAUUAAUUUUUAUUUUAUUUUAUUUUUUGUGAGCUAGUUGCCAGCGUAUACUAUUCUAAUAAGAAAAAUAUUUUGCCUGCAUAUAAAAUUGUUACAACUUUUUUUUCUUUUACACAUGCAUGGCAUGAUAAUUAGGGUGCGUUUGAUUCGCGGUAUCUUUUAAAGAUUUCUAUUAAUCCAAUGGGAAUAAAAAAAAUAUAACGGUGUUUGGCUAAAUGCACUAAGUAAUCUAGUUGGUAAUAUUGGAUUCACUUGGGAAUAAGAUUCACCCCAAAGUACUAAUCUCAUUCUCUUGAGAGAGGGUAGGUAUUCUCAUAUUAAUGGAUUAGGGUAAUCACAAUAUGUCUAAUCUCUUUGUUUCUUCCUACCCACAGGCUAAUUGAUAUUAUUUUUUUUUACACUCUAACCUUAUAUCUCUCUCUAACUUAUUUUUCUCCCUAAAAUUUAACUUUUUUUUCUCUCUCUAAACUAAGCUUUCUCUCUCUCUCUCUUUCUAAAAUUUCAACUCUCUCACUCCCUCUAAUUUCGACUAUAUUGUUCUUUCUAUUUUUUUAAUUAUGCUCUCUCUCUCUCUCUAACUUAUACUCUCUCUCCCUUUUUUCUAAAAAGAUAUUAAAACUUUUGGUAACAUUAUCUAAAAUUAAUUAAAUAAAUAAAUUAAUUAAUUGUAUAUUUUUUGUAAUAUUAAAUAAUAUGGCUAAUUAAUAUUACAGUGCGAACCAAACACAGGAAUUUCACAUUCUUAGUAAUAGGAUAAAUAGGAAUAAGAUUCUCGGAUAUUUUUUAUUCCUAGUAAUCUUUCAUAAUGCGAACCAAACGCACCCUUAAUGUUAUAUUAGUUCUUUCUGUUUACUGUAAUUACGAUUCUAUUCAUAAAAUAAUUAUGAAAGUCCGAAUACCCUAUAAUUAAAUAUUUUCUGUAUAUUAAAAAUAUAAAAUAAUAAUUAAAUAUUUAUGAUAUUAUGCUAACGUUAUUGAUAAUCAAUGAUUCUUAACCUAAUAAUAUAUCUAUAUGGUUGUUGAUUCCGGAUUUUAAAAGAUUUUUUUUUAUGAAAAUAUAAAGUAAUUCGGUUUUGAAUUUGAAAUUUUAAAUACCAAUCAUUAAGCCCUUAGCGAACUGUACUUAGGGGCCGUUUGAUUGGAUGUAGUUACAAAAACAGUGUAGUUGAAAGUGCAUGUAGUUGUAAAUGCUGCAGUCAUAACUAUAUCUAGUCUGUUUGGUUAUAUCCAGUUACAACUGCUGCAAUUAUAUUUUUUCUGUUAGGUAAUUUGCAGUUGAGAUUUGUAUUUAUAAAUUCUGUCAAUUUUUAGAUAGAAAUGUGAGAUUACCUCUUCGGAGCAUAACGUAAUCAUGUUUUAAUUAUUAAUUAAGACUUUUAUAUUUAUAUAUAAAUUAUAUAUUAUAAAAUUAUGUAUGAAUUUAAUAAAUUUUAAAUAUAAAUAUAUUAUACAUUUGGUCAAAAUAAAAUUAAGAUAUUAUUAAACUAGCAGACUAAAAUAAGAAGCGUAUGAUAAAAGAAAAUACUGACUCUAACAAACAUUACUAAAUCCUAUCAGAUUUUAUGAAUAUGUAUUUUUGAAAAAAAAUAAAAACAGAAGCGUAUGAAAAAAAAAAUCACACUUUGUUUAUAUUUUUAAUAGGUAAGCCGACUCCGGCUCAACUGCAGCAGUUGAGCCUUCUUGCCAACUGCAGCAGUGAGCCUUCUUGUGCAGAUGCAACUGCAGCAGUUGGACCUAACUAAAUUGGCUGCAGUAACAACUGCAACAGUUGAGCCUUCUUGUGCAGAUGCAACUGCAGCAGUUGGACCUAACUAUACGAAACCAAACAAAAAAAUUAAUAGAUGCAUGCAUUUCCAGCUGCAAUGCAGUUGACAAUGCAUGCAACCAAACAGCCUCUUAGUACGUACCUCUUAGUACGUACGAUCAUCGCUUUUGAAACUUGUAGGGAAACAAUUUGAAGACUUUUUUCUACAAUAAUCCUUAAAAAAAUAUAUAUUUGGCCAAAUAACCCUGUUAAAGAUUUAUUUGGUCAAAUAAUCUAUUUUAUCAACCUAGCAUUAGGGUGAAAAAAAAAUUUGAAAGACGAUGAAAGAUUCACCAUCUUUGAUAAACUCUAAAACGCGCUUAAUUAUUUGCUGUUUCUUUUUUAAUUUUCUACAUACAACACUAAUAAUCAUAUAAAAAUUUUCAAUACCCCGUAUAAAAUUCUGACAAACUUAUAAAAAUUUUUAAUAACCUGCAGUAGUCACAACUAAAUAAAAAUCUUAACAGCCCAAAUAUAACUCGUAUAAUUUUAUAAAAAUUGUACAAACAACCGUAACAAUGUGAAGUUUUUUAAAAACUGUGGAUAAUUGAUUGACCAUUUUAAAAUUUUAUUGAUUACAACGAGUAAUUCAUCAUUGUUUACUUUUCUCUCUGCCGUUAUGUAGAGCUCAAUAAUAUAGUAUUAGUUUACCAAUUAAAAUUUUAAUAAAUUAUUCUUUAAAUUAUAACUUUUUUUGUUUAGGUAUCACUUAAAAAGAUACCCCAAUUUGACAAUGGCUAUGAGAUUCCUAUGGCCGUAGGGGCUGUUUGUCACGCCCCGCGCCCGGUCCUAUUUGGCCGGUUCGAGCACGUUGAACAGACGCCGAACGAACAACACCUUCCCUAUCUGCCCAAGACUCAACAACAAGUACAGAGCAAGUAUAUAAAUUUGCACAACAGAAAUAUAAAUAUACUUAGCUUGCACGAGGGCAAGCGAUAGCCAAAGUGAAAGUACUAACUAAACAUCAUACAACUAAUAUGAUUAAUUUUUAACCACAUACAUGCAUUCAAUCACAAGUUAUAUUUUUAUUCUUUUCAUCAUUUCUUCUCUUGAUACAUCACAUGAUAUCCAAAAUAUAACUCUUUACAUUUAAGCAUAAACUCUUCUAUCUCAUUCAUAUUCUUUCAUUUAAACGUCUAUAAUCAUCAAGUACAAAAGAUGAUAUACAAAAGGGUAUGUAACUACAAAAUAUAAAAUCCAACUCAGGUGGUCUCUAUCUAUGGCGCGAUACCCUUACCGCGAUCUUCGGCCGGCUCGCUCGGUCUCGGCUCUGUGGAAAUAGUGGGGUGAGAACUACAACAAAGUUUCCAGUGGGUUCGGCCGCCGACCUCGCUGACUUUCCCACUAGGUCUAAAUCAAGCAUAAUAGAAAGAUAGAUAGAUAGUAACCAACUAACAAAUACAGCUAAUAUGUCUGAACAAUAUAUACCCAUGAUAUGCUCAAUUAGAAUGCUCAUGAUGAAUGCAAGAUCACAAUUCCAUUGCCCAAUCUCUUAGCUAACCCGUAGGUUUCGCCCUCAACAAACUCACGAACUCAAAUCUCUACUAUCGGGGAGAUACUUGCUACGACCCGAUGAGACCGUACUCUGGAGAGAUACUCGCUACGACCCAGUGAUGACUACUCCAGAGCUUAUUGCUCGAAGGGGUGCGACCGCCCUCAAGCCAAGACUUAUAGGUGAGUAUGAUCAAUCCUUAACUUUAAGGAUUCUGAAUCCGACCCAUUCCUCACUAUAAGAAUACAAUGCUCAUAUGACCCUUAACUUUAAGGUUGCUAUGUCAUAGUGUCCACUAUCUCUCUUUACUUGCAUUCUUUAACUUGCAUUGGUGUCAUUUAUAUUACUUGUUCUCUAUACACAUUUUCAUGCAUUCGUCGAUCUCAUUAUGCUACACUAAGUGUUCAACUCUAGCAUUCAUUAUUUAUUAAUGCCAUACAAUCCAUAUGUCAUAAUGUCAUUUUGGUUCUCUAUCUCAUCUAGAUCUUUAUCACUUUUCAUGCAUACAUAGGGUUCUUACCAUUCUCAAUAGUUCACAAUCAUCUCAUAUGCAUUUAAACUCAUAACAUGCAACAUAUGCUCUCAAAUUAACCCUACUAUGCAAGAUGCUUAAUAUACCCAUAUGCUCGAAAAUGACACUUUAGACAUAAAAGAAAAUUCAAUGAUUUCGCAAAGCACCACCUACCUUGUAUGGUUGUAAGGGUGCUACGGUUCAAUUCCCACGAUUUUUGGGCGCCUAUUCCGCGUGCUGCGGCAAUCUGUACCAAAAUCGACCUUUUCGUCAAUUUCUUUGCCUACACUCGUCGGAUCACCGAACCGAGUUCAUAUUCUAGUUAGAAAUACUCCAAUUAGGUUUCUACAAGGUCAAUUUGCCUUUAAACCACUCUAGGGCAAAAGCUCCAAUUUUGGUGUCCCAAUAAUGUCAUUUGCCCAAUACCUUGGUUUGAUCUCUAAAACAAGCAAAUGCAAGCUUGUUGAAUCUCUAAGAACUCAUUUAGAACCAUUUCUAAGUCAUUCAAAUCAUUUCUAGAGCAUACAAACCGAACUCUAGAAAUCCACCAUGAGAGCUCAUGAAGGAAACAUAAAUUUUCAUGUGUUCAUGGCCUCUACAAGGUUUCUACACUUGUAAGAUGAUCAAAAUAAAAAAUCUAGGGCAUAAAACCAAGCCCUAACCCUAAUCUUACAAGAAAACCUCACCUUAGCCCAAAGCCCUCCAAGGUCCACCUUGUAAGAGAGCUUCCAAGCCUUCAAAAACUUCAAAUCUCCUCCAAAAGCCUCUGCAAUCUCCUUCUUUCCACUUUGGUAGAAAGCUUCUAGAGAGAGAGGGAGAGAAAUGAGUUGGAGGGGUGUUUGCUGUUGUGAACCAAAGAGGAGGGGUGUGUGGGAUCUUAUAUGGGUUGCCAAAUUGCAAAAAGACCCUCCCUAUUUUCAUAUUUGCAGCAGACCAAAAUCUGCUGCGAUGUCCAUUUAGUACUGGUACAAGCCCAGUUUGUCACCGGUAACACGAUCACGGAGCAACCAAACCCGAGAGCUGCUGUUUCGGGUUUUACACUUGGUACCGGUACACACCAAGGGUGUCACCGAUUCAACAGCCGAAUUUUCUCGAACCCGAGAGAGCUGUCUGGUACCGGUACAAGCUAAAUGCAUUACCGGUAACAAAAGUUCCAGACUUCAAUUUUCGCAUCGUUUCGACUCCAAUUCGCGUCGAUCAAUGCUAAAACCUUUCUAACUCAUUUAGAACUCACUUUUAACCCUCCCAACAUUGUUGGAAUGUUAAAUGGAACUUGCCCAACUAUUUCUUUCACACACUUUAAUCAAUUUGACUAAAGCUCGAUAUAGUCUACCGAGAUUUCGGUAUAUUACACUGUUGGCCUGGCACGGCCUCGAGUCGCGCUGCAGCAUGGCAUGGGUACUGUAGCACCUGUGCUGGCUCGGCUCAGCAGGAGCUUCAGGGCCAUGCUGGGCCUCACCUUUUGGGCCCGGCAACUCGGCACGGCACGGUUUGAAACGGGUCUGGACUGUGCCGGGCCGCGGAGAGACCUGUGGCUCGUCAUGGCAUGACCCGGUUGGACCGUAUCGACCAGCACGGCCUGAACCCUAAGGGCUAAGGCAAUUUUUCUUGGGCCUUAGGGUUUGAGCUCCCAGGGAGAAUAGCCCUAAGAGCUCUUCUCCCAAGAUCUGUAGUCUUAAGAGGAAGUUUUAAUCUAAUGGACUAAACAAUUUUUAUCCGUUGGAACAAAACCUUUUCAUUUUUUUUCCAAAAAAAAUAAAUUUUUUUAAAAUUUAAACAUUUGUUAUAUUAUAAUUAUUUUUAUAAAUUUUAAAUUUUUUAAUCAAAAUAUCAGUUUAAAUAAAAAUAUUUUAUUGUUUAUAUUUUAAAUCGGCCAAUUUGCAUAAAAAUCCACUAAUUUUGGGCUUUUGCAAAAGUGGGCUACCUUUUUCGUUUUUACAAAUUCGGUCCGAUUUUUCAGCAAACUGACCAAAAUACCCUUAUACCUUUUUCUCUCUACUCUUUUUUUUUCUCUCGUUCUUUUUUUCUUUCUCUUCCCAGAGAGCAGCGGAGGUAAAGGCGGAGGCGGAGGCGGCCCGCUUUGGUUUUGUCCGGCGCAUCCUUAACCUCGCCCGCGCACCCCCCGUCUUCCUCGCCUCCAACCCCGCCGAGGCCGCGCUGCGACUUUUUUUUUUCCCCUCUCCGACCUUCCUCUACUGCCUCCGACGAUGGAGCCUAUCUCACCCUCUCUCGCCCUUCUCGCCCUUUCCCUCUCCCUCCUCCUUCACCUCCUCCGCAGCCUCCGACGACGACGCCUCUUUGCUGACAUCGACGCAGCGGAGGUCGCUACGGCGCCGCAGCCUCGGAGCGGGGGAUCUUUAGCGGUGUCGUCGCCGGCGCCGUGGUCGUUGGCGGGAAGGCAUGACAAAAAAAAAUUAUAGAAGAGGAAGAAAAAAAUAAAGACAAAAAAUUAUAUAAGAAGGAAGAAGAUGAUGAAUUGCACCGUUAAAAUAAGAUUACAGUGUUUUAAAACAAAAUUAUACUGUUUUAAUAAAAAUUGUACUAUUUGAUAUAAAAAUUACACUAUUUUGGAAUGGAUUUUACACUCUUAAGACAAAAAUUGUACUGCUUUAAUAAAAAUUGUACUAUUUGAUAUAAAAAUUACACUAUUUUGGAAUGGAUUUACACUCUUAAGACUAACGUUGCACUAUUUAGGAGAAUUUUGCACCAUUUUUUUUCUUUUCUUUUUCUCUUUAUUUUUCUUUUCUUCUUCUUCUUCCGCUGCUGACUCCCGCUCGGCCCGCGAAGGCACGUGGGGGCUAUCGCGGAGCUCAAGGAGGCUCCUGACAACGGGAAGGGACCUCCUCGAGCUCGGCGAUAGCCCUCACUACGCCUUCGCGGGCCGGGCGAAAGGCAGCAACGGAAGAAGAAGAAGAGAAAGAGAAAGCAAAAAAGAAAAGGAAAAGAAAUUGUGCAAAAUUUUCCUAAAUAGUGCAACGUUAGCCUUAAGAGUGUAAAAUUCAUUCCAAAAGAGUGUAAUUUCUAUAUCAAAUAGUGCAAUUUUUAUUAAAACAGUGCAAAUUUAUUUUAAAACAGUGUAAUCUUAUUUUAACAGUGCAAUUUCAUCAUCUUCUUCCUUCUUAUAUAAUUUUUUUCCUUUAUUUUUUUUCUUCUUCCUCUUCUAUAAAUUUGUUUUUGUCACGCCUCUCCGCCAACGGCCAUGGCGCCGGCGACGACGCCGCUAAAGACCCCCCGCUCUGAGGCUGCGGCGCCACAGCGACCUCCGCAGCGCGGAUGUCGGCGGAGAGACGUCGUCAUCGGAAGUGGCGGAGGAGGCGAAGGAGGAAGGAAAGGGAAAGGGCGAGAAGGGCGAGAGAGGGUGAGAUAGGCGUCGUUGUCGAAGGCGGUGGAGGAGGGUCGGAGAGGGGGAAAAAAAAAUUUCGCAGCGCGGCCUCGGCGGGGUCGUAGGCAAGUAGGGUGAGGGGUGCACGAGCGAGGGUAAGGAUGCGCCGGACAAAACCGAAGCGGGCCGCCUCCGCCCCCGCCUCCACUUCUGCCUCCACCGCUCUCUAGGAAGAGAAAGAAAAAAAAAAUUGAGAGAAAAAAAAAAGAAGAGAGAAAAAGGUAUAAGGGUAUUUUGGUCAGUUUGUUGAAAAAUCAGAUCGAAUCUGCAAAAACGAAAAAAAUGGCCCACUUUUGCAAAAGUCCAAAACUAGUGGAUUUUUUAUGCAAAUUGGUCUUUUAAAUUUUACAUAUUUUAAAAAAUAAAAAAUAAAAUUUUUUACGGACCGGCCCGAAGAAUGACCUGGCCCGGCACAGCCCGGCCGGGGCCGAAGGGCCCUAGGAGGCUUAGUAGUUCCAGCCCGACACGGCCCGGCCCGGAUCCUAGCGCUAUCCGAUAGGGAUGAAAAUGGAUCAGAUAUUAUAUACGUUAGAAUCAUGGUGAAAACUACAGCAUUGCAUUCCGCCACGUGUUCUAGCAGUGCCAACCACCCAUUCCCGCAACACGGAAAAUGAUAUUAUCAUUUGUAUGGACCGUACUGUAUGUACACAAAAAUUUAAAUGCAACUUGAUUUCCAUAUAAUAAAAAUAAAAAAAAAAAUAUGCAGAAAAUUUACUUCAACUACAAACCAUUUUUAUUCGAUAUCCAAUCUUUCAAAAUUUUUAUUUUUCUAUUCAAUUUUUUAAUUUAUUUAAUUUGAGUUAGUAUAAUUAUGCAAUUUUAUUUUAUAAUUAUAAAUUUAUUAUUGGCCAUUCAUAUCGCAAAUGAUAAAAAAUUUAAUAGUUGAUAUCCAAGAUCCCAAAUUUAAAUAUUAAUCGAUUCACAUUUCUAGCUGUAUUUAUUUCCAAAAAAAAUAAAUAAAACGAAUAGCAUAUUAUUUGUCUCUAAAAUAAUUCAUAGUUCAAAUAAGUACGAUAUUUUUUUAUCUAUCUAAAAAUAAGAGGCAAUUGCUUAAAUAUUCCUAAAAAAAUUUCAAUUUUUUGAUUUAUCUCUCUUAGAAGGCUAAUAUUAAAAAUAUUUUUUCACUUUUCAAGUUAUUUCAAAUAUACUCUUAAACUUAAAUUUUGUUAGUGAACGGCUAGCAAUAGCCCUUAUCUCUGUAAAAUUAUUAUUUUAUCCUUUCAAAUAUACCAUUUUUUCAUCAUCAACUUUUCAUAUUUGUCCUUAAGUUAGGAACAAAAGAAAUAUUUUGAUUUUUUGUCUUUUCAAAUAUACUCCUCUACUAUCACGAACUUUUUUUAUUUGUCUUAAGUUAAGGACAAAAGAGGUAUUUUGAUUUUUUUAACUCUGGUAAAUAUUUAACUCACGUUUAAUCUGAAAUAACUUAACGGGUAGUAAUUCCCUGAAUACUGUUUAAUAACAAAGUAAUAAAUGAGAAGUAUAUUGAAAAUUUAAAAAACUAAAUAUAAAUUAAAUAUUUUUAAAUUUUUGAGAGGUAUAUAUAUAUAGAGUUGAGCUGGAAUGUUAUUGAUAGCAAACGGACUCCGUUGCCACCCAUUUGUUUUCGAUGAUGGAGCCUGCAAAUCGAUGAUCGGCAUCAUUGAACAUGAUCUAUACCAAUUGAAGUAUCUAGAAACCAAAUUUCAAAUCUUUUCGACAUCAUUGACCUAAUGAUCAAAGGGUUUCAAAAUUUGUAAUUUUAAUGGUAGAUACGAGGCAUUUUCUCGUUUAACGGUAUAAAGUUAUCCAAAUCAAUUGAAUUUUGGUUAGAAAAUUCUUUAAACUAUUUAGAAUGAGAUCUAUACUCUCGAUCUUGAUUACAAAAUUCCUAUCAUCAUUUUUUAGAGAAUAUUCAUUUUCAACCGUUCAUUUUUAUGUCCACUUGAUGGACAAAAGAACAAUAUCGGAAAAGUAUGAAAUUUGAUUUCUAGAUAUUUCAAAUGGUAUAGAUUAUGUUCAACGGUGCAGAUCGUCAAUUUGGAGGCUCCAUCAUCAAAAAUAAAUGGGUGGCAACGAAAUCUGUUUGCUACNUAUAUAUAUAUAUAUAUAUAUAUAUAUAUAUAUAUAUAUAUUCCUUAAAAAUAAAGUACGCCCGUCUACAGAACAAACACGGUUCAUACAGUUUUUCUUUUCUUUUUUCUUUUCUUUUUUUUUCUUUUUGUUUUUUUGUGUGUGAAUGUGUGUGUUUUUUUCAACACGUCGCCCAGUCUCCUUGAUCUUCGGUUGGUUCUUUCCCGUCGCCUUUUUGGUUCCGCUCAUCUCUUUCCUUUCGCGAUUCUCCGUGCGCUGCUACGAGAGAGAUUAGAUGGAGUCUCGACUCUUCUUCGUGAAAUUAGCGACGACGCCCAUCCCACUUCCCAUCUCUUCUUCUUCUUCUUCUUCUAAAAUCCCCUUCUCUCGCUGCAGCUUCUUCUCAACACCCAUCAUUGCGCCGUCCAAAUCUCCGCAUGCCCUUCGACUCCCCUCUGAUGGCUCUCGCGCGUUUCGUCGGCGAUUUAGGGCUUCCAAGGCCGACCCCGCCGAGGAGGAGGAGGAGGAGGAGACGCCAGCCGAGGCCGGAGUUCGCAGUCGGUACGUACCCGGAACACUAUUAUGAGACAACUGCUGUACUCUAAAAAUUUAAGUGGCUAAACAACGGUAUUUAUAUAUUUUUAUAUUUAACACUUUCCGUCGCGUCUGGAUUCUGGAUUCGAAACUUUUUGUAAGACUUAUGACUUGGAUUUGAAUUCAAGUGGCGUGGCUCGAACUCAGUACCUCAUGCUCUGAAACCAUAUGAAAUAAUCGUUAUACUCUUUUAAGGCAGUGUUUGGUUAGGGGAUAGGGAUAGGCCCUUAUCCCCUUUUAUACCUAAACACUAAUUUUUUAUCCGAGAACAGUAGUUCUCGGUUAUCUAUAAUAACCAGUUAUAACUAUCCCCACAUACACCUCCAUUUUCUAUAUAAAACUAUCUAAUAUUUUUCUUAUUCCAUAUUAUCUAUCCAAACAUUAUUUUUCUUGUCCCCGAAAACAACCCAAUUUUCAUUCAAACGCUAUUUUCCUUAUCCGCAUACUUGUACCUAUCCAUGUAAUAAUUAAUUCUUACUUAUACCCGAACCAAAAGGUUUAAGUAUUUAUAUAUUAAAUUUCGUUGUACUCUAAAAGCUUAAACAGUAUUUAUAUAUUUUUAUAUUUAAUAGCCAUACACUCUUUGUCGCAUGAUUUCUGCAGAAUUGUGUGAUGAAGGAUCAAUUCUUGGCUCUAGUUCUUUGUGCUUUACUAGUUUCUUCAGGACAAUUUCAUUAUCCAGAAUAUAAAAAUAUUAAAAUUACAGAGCUUAAACAUUUCGAGAAAAAUGGUUGUUUCGUAUAAUUUAAUUUAAUAUGGUAUUAGAAUAAGUGGUCCUGAAUUAGUUUGAAUUCUGUCAGGCUCCCUGCAUUAUUAUUAAUUAAUUUUCUCCCAUUUAAUUUACGUAGCUCAGAUGUGAGGGAAACUUUUGAAUAUAAUAAGUAUUAAAAAUAUCGUUCUCUGCUAGCUUAAACUUUUAUAUUAGAACCAAACGGUUGUUUCAUAUAAUUAAUAUGGUAUCCGAGCAUGAGUCUUGAGUUCGAGUCACGCCAGACUCCUAAUAUAAUUAAUUUCAUCCUAUUUAAUUCAAGUCCAUAUUAUGGGCAUAUCGAAAAGUCUCAAGCCUCGGCGUGAGUUUAAACGUUUAGAGAAACACGGUUGGUUUAUACAAUUUAACAUCCUCUUUUUUUAUAUUACUAAAAUCAAUAAAAACAAUUUUAAAGCUAAGAGUCCUACGACUCUUUUUGGGUCGGAGACUUAGCAUUUUAAAAAAAUAGUGAGGGAGAGUAUUAAUUGCAAAAUUAUAUGGAGAUUUCUUCAACUAUAGGCCAUUGUAAAUCAGCCCCAUUAAGUAUUUUCUUUUUCUGUUCUUUUUAAUUGGCACCCCUUCCACUUUUGAUUUUUUGGAAUCGAGAAAGUUUAGUCAACUGUGUUGGGGAUUAAUAGCAAUUUUAAUCCUUUUCUAGCUAAUUAAACUAGAACCAUUAAUGACUAUAGCUAAUAGAGUCAUUAAAUUUAACAAAAUUUUCAACUAAAUAAAUUAACUCAUUUCAGAAAAAUUAAAAGUUGAGGGUGUCGAUUAAAGAAAAGGUUGAAGGUAAGUAUGCCUCGAUACAAUUGUAUCUAGAUAUUAUUCUCUUCACAUAUGUGUAUUGAAGAACUUUCGAAGUUUGGGUAGUGGUCUCUAUCUCGUUUUUUUGGGACAAACUUCAAAUUCUCCCCCUGUAGUUUAGCUCAUUUUCACUUUGUCACCACAUGGUUCAAAAAGUUGCACUUUUUCCUGUUGUGGUUUAGUUUUUAUUUUGACAAAAAAUUUUAUGUGGCAAAAUAAAAUUUUUUGAAAAACCACAGUGGUGAAGUAAAAAAUGUACUAAACCAUAGGAUAGUUAAGUAUAACUUUUUAAACCAUAAGGUGCGAACGUGAAAAAAAAUGAGCCAAACCACAGGGCAGCAAUGUGCAACUUUUUUGAAGCCGGUCAAUUUGAAAUUUACCCUUUUUUAUAUAUUUUUUGGUAUGUGUGUGUGUGUUUGUGUUUUUGUGUUAGUCUAGUUUGAGAUAUCAAUUUGAAUUAAUGAAAAAUUUUGCAACUAUAUUUCCCAUCUCUCCGGUUUAAAAGAAAAUCAAUGGUUUACUAAUUUGAUUUUUUCGAUGACCAAUCUUCGAAACUGUAACGUUCUUUGAGAAAAUUUGGAAAUUUCUGCAUGAAUUUUUUCAAAGUUUUACUUUAACAUAGCAAUGACAAGACGAAAUUGACCAGCAUAAGAUAUCCUAGAAUGAUUAUACUAAUUGGAUCCAUCUAUUAUAGAGGGGUGAGUCAAUUUUCUCUUCUUCUUUUCAUAGCUUUUCUUCAUAUUAGUAAUUUCUUCAAAAAUUCUACCUUAUUUGUUCUGAAAGUACUCUAGACUUUGAUUGAAUAAAAGAACGGUUAUUUUAUAUGCAGGUUAUAAAAUAUUUCUAUUUUUGCAGCACGUGGAACUGGCGAGGUUACUGCAUUCGUUAUCAAAGUGCUGGAGAGAGUGGUCCUGCAUUAGUUUUAGUUCAUGGUUUUGGGGCGAACAGGUGUACGUCAUACACAAUAUUGCUUCCAAUUUGCAACUAUGUUUUAUAGGUAUCAUGGUUAUAGCGCAUAGCUGAUCAUUGUCAUGGUUAUGUUCAUGUUUAAAUUAUUUUUCAUGAUUUCGUUACGGCAAAAUAAUUAUUAUGUACAUAUUGUACCUACCAUCUUGUAGGAAGUUUGAUAGUGGGGACGUGAAAAUUUUCUUAAGAAAGUAUUUGGAUGGGGAAUGGAGUAAGGAUAGUGGUUGGUAUCCUCACUAUCCACCCAAUACCCUUAAAAAAAAAAGGGUAAAGUCUCUGCCUAGAAUCUGCCAGCAUAACCAUAUGACCUGCUGUAUUAAUCGGGAUGGCAAUUCCAUUGGUAAGGGUGGAGUUUCUGUUACUUGUAAUCAGCAGCAAUUUGUCGCUGUUAUUCUUGUUGUCUUCUUUUUAUGUAGUUUGCAGCGUGGCGAUCAUAAAUAGCUAUGAAUUUUUUAGUAAUACUUGUUGUGGAUUUUCCACUCUGUAAUUGUGUAGAAAAGAACAGUAUGCUUAAAUUAGCUUUGCGUGCAACAUUCUGGGAGAGUCCAUUGUUUUCUUUAUUCUAGUUGGCCAUUUCGUCUGCCUGUUCAGCCUAUCUAUGCUCUAUUAUUGAAUACUGAGUUUUUAGUUUACUGUGUAAAAAGUCCAGGUAACCUUUAAGAUAUGCUUAGUUUAGUUGUAAGUGGAUUUACAACCUAAACCCUACUACAAUUUUAUAAUUCAUCUGCCUUUUGAGUUGUGAGCUGCUUGUUAUCAUGAUAGCUGCUUCCUAAAAACAUUAAUCUUUAAAAGCCUUAUCAAAUUGUACCAUAUCAUAUGGAUCUGACUUCUGAGGCAUGAUGCAUCUCUUUUAUAUGGUCCUGAUAUUUUCCAUUAAUUUUGACAUCCAUAUGAAAAGAUGCACUUAAGUCAUGUGUUCAUCUAUCCCAUCUCUUUCUUACGUUCCUUUGCCUGUCUGCUUUUUAAUCACUGGGAUUGAUAUACAAAGAUCCUUUUGCAGUGACCAUUGGCGUAAAAAUAUUCCUGUCCUUGCAAAGUCAAAUAGAGUUUAUGCUUUUGAUCUUAUUGGUUAUGGUUAUUCUGAUAAGCCAAAUCCAAGAGAGCUUGGUGGGAAUCCCUUUUAUACAUUUGAGACAUGGGCAGACCAGCUAAAUGAGUUUUGUGCAGAAGUGGUUGGAGAUGAAGCGUUCUUCAUAUGCAACUCUAUCGGUGGUAUGGAUCUUCUAAAAAUAUACCAUGAUUAUGAUUAGCAUGAAUUAAAUGACCAUAGUCAUACUUUAAAAAAAAAAAAAGAGAGGUGAAAAGAGUAAUGCUUCUAUGACAUAUUGAAGUGUUGCAUAAAUGCAAGAACUCACAAUUCAGUUAAUUCGGUUACAUCUUCUAUAUAUAACCACAGAAGGAAACAAAUUAAUUACAACUUGUAUAUGUCCUCUAGUGGCCUCUCUUGUUGCUAAGGUCUAAAUCUCAAUGACUCGUGUAUAUUAGAUAAUUAUCAAACUCAAGACGCAAAUCUGUUUCAGUUACACUGCCAGGCUCAUAGUUUCCGUGGUUUACGUUUCAGUAAGUUUUGAAACUCUAAUACUGCUUCAGAAUAAAUAUGGGCAAGUGGAGUAAUUAUCAAACAACUGGCUUUCACAGUACUUUAAAAUGCUAAAGUGAUGCUUUAGACAGUUCUUGGUGGAAAUAGAAAUAGUAUUCGUGUUGUUUUAUUGGAUAUCACAGGGAUAGCUAGACAUUCUAAAUACGGAUUACCAUGCCAAAAUUUUUAUAUGAGACUCCGUACAUGAUUCUCUAGUUGCAAUAAACCAAAACAGAUCAACUUCAUUAGAUGAGAGAUGUCCCUCAAACCUCUUUCUCACGGAGUUACUUUUUUCCGCAGGACUGGUUGGUCUUCAGGCAGCUGUCGUGAAGCCUCAGGUUUGUAAGGGUAUUGUCCUGCUGGACAUUUCGUUGAGGAUGCUUCAUAUAAAGAAGCAGCCUUGGUAUGGGAGACCUUUCAUCAAAUCAUUCCAGAGCUUGCUGAGGUAGUUGUUUACAUCGCCAUGUAAUUGAUCAUCACUGAACAUUGCUCGCCAUGAUUAUGCUCAAGCUUGCUUUGACAUGGCAGGAACACAGCUGUGGGGAAGUUAUUUUAUAAUGCAAUUGCUACACCAGAAUCUGUGAGAAGUAUCCUUUGUCAGGUCCUCUUACUAAACCUUAUGGAGAACAAACAUAUGUACAUUCAAGUACCUUCUCUUAUGGUAGUCAGCAGAUUCAGCUUACAUAAAUGAUGUCCAUUGGGCAUCCAUCUUGUGUUAUUUAGAAGGUUAUGAAGGAGGCUGUUAAAUAAAACUUGCAGACGCUAUAGCUCAAUCGUGAAGUAACUAUUUGAAACUUCAUACUAUUUUUGAGCGGGCUGUCCCUCUGCCCUGUGCCAUGCUGAAUGCUUGCUAUAUAGAGAGAGAGCUGAAACCUAAUUUUUCUCUAUAAACAAACGAGUCUAACAUUAAUAAAUGCAACUGGAAAACAAAUUUAAAAUAUAAAAGCACACCCUCGGCCCCCUGGUCCUACCAAAUUCACCAUGUUUUCAGACUCCAGAGGGCCAUCGUCAAGCACAUGAGAUUGAUGGUUUAUCAUUUCUCAAAGAAGGUGAUUACUGUGCAUGAUAAUUAUAAGAAAGUCACAUAUAGCAUAUUACUGAGAAAAACUAUGUAAGAUCAAAUUUUAUCUUAUUUCCAUUUCCAUUUCCAUUAUAUAUUGUGGAAAAUUUGGAGAAGCAAAUAAGUUUUUGCUUUGUUUGGCAUCGGCACCACUCUUUUAUUCAUUUAACACAAAUUUUAUAUAAUUGGAUGCAUCGGCAGAUAGACUUUGUUCUUCUCAUUUUUUGCUUGCAUGUGGCACAUCGUAACUGGAUUCGAAUCAGAAUCUUCUUAAAAAUAACAAAGAAGCGGAAAAAAGGGAAAGUUAAGGCCUCGUUUGGCAUCGUUACCCUUUUUUUGUUUUGGUAAAUAUAUCUACAUGAAAUAGUAUGAGAAGGGUUGUUGGAUUGCUUGCAAUCUUUGCAUCUAAAGUGCUUGUUUGGAAACAGAAAGCAAAAACUUGAAAACAAAUUUUUUUGCUUCUAAAAUUUUUUUUUGAGUAGUAAGUUCUCAUCACCACUUGGCCGAAAUGUAUUGUAAGGUAACCAACAAUGAUAACAAGAGGAAAAUCCCAAUAUUUAAUAUUUAUAUAAUACGAGUUUUUGUUUUUUUGUCACCAAAGGAAUUGGUAGAUGUAUGAACUGAAAGAAAUCCACUAUCCAACCACACAUUCAUUGUAUGAAAAGUGUAUUUGCAGUACUAAAAGAAUGGCCACAAUAACAAAUAAGGCCUUUGUCUUUUUCCUUUCUUUCCUUCUUUAUUUCGGUGGCACUGAUUAGGAAUUUAUGAUCCAUCAAUUAUAGUUAUCCACAUUCUUUUGAUGAAGUGGUGUUUCUUUUCUGCUCAGCCAAUUAUUAAUCUUGUAAAUUUCCAUUGUAGUGUUAUCACGACACAUCGGCAGUUACGGAUGAGCUGGUUCAGAUAAUUCUGCAGCCAGGACUUGCUCCUGGCGCAGCAGAUGUAUUCCUCGAGUUCAUCUGCUACUCUGAAGGCCCCCUUCCCGAAGAGCUGCUCCCAAAAGUGAAGGUUUGCACUAGAUCUGUGGACAGCACUCUGUGAAACCAUCAUGUUUAUCUAAUUUAAAUGACUUCUCACUUAUUUUAUCUUUUUUUAAAAAAUUAUUUUCUUUGGUCAGUGUCCUGUUUUGGUAGCUUGGGGGGACAAGGACCCAUGGGAGCCUGUUGAACUUGGGAGAGCAUAUGCAGAUUUUAAUGUUGUAGAAGAAUUCAUCGUGCUUCCGAAUGUCGGACACUGCCCACAGGUUAACACUCUCUUCAGAUAUUGUUGCAUAAUACUCACUGGUUAUAUUUUCCCAUGGCUACUUAUUUUUUGCCAAAAAAUUGUAUGGACACUCCCACAAGUGUAUGACAUCUACGAAAAUGUGCGUGAUCUUCAGUUAUUUGAUCUCAUAAUAUUCCAUCAGGUUCAUGACAGAAUUCGAUAAUUUGUACCAGAAAAGUGACAGAGUAUCGCACUGUAUCAGAACAUUCUGAUAAAUAUGGAAUGUUUGCAUCCUAAAGAACAUAAGACAGUUAAAUUUUGACCAAAUUUUUCUGAAAUCAAGCAUGUCAGUUGAGGGUUUAAAAUCGAAAAGAGAGAGAGAGAGAGAGAAAAGGGAAAAAGAACAACUAGAGUUCAGUGACCUGUUCUGAAUGUUUUUGUUUUUAUUGUUUUUUUCUCUGACAAUUAGGGCCUGUUUGGAUACACAGUAAAAUAUCUCCACGGAAUUUAUAAACUGUGGUUUCGGUCUAGAUAAAAUAGAGAAUCCUGUAACUCUAAAAAAUUCCACGGAUUCAAUUUUUAAACUGUUUGGAUACGCAUUGUACAAUUUCACAGGAUUUUUCUAAAUUUUAAGAUUAAAAGUUAAAAUUUAAAAUUUCAAAAAAAAUUUAAAAUUUAAAAUUUGACAUGUGAAAUGUGAAAUUUUGAAUUUUGAAUUUUAAAUUUUAAAUUCAAUGUCGAAAUUACAAAUUUAAAAAUUUAAUAAAUAAAAAAUCUAAAUUUAAUUAAAAUUUUUAAAACUUACAUUUUAAGAAUAAAAAAUUAAAAUUGAAAUUUGAAAUUUAGAAUUUUAAAUUUAAAAAUAAAUUUAAAAUUAAAAGUUUAAAAAAUUCAAAUUAAAAUUAAAGUUUAAAAUUUGAAAUUUGAACCAUAGACUGAGAUUUGAAAUUUCAAAUUAAAUUGAAAUUUAAAUUAAAAUUUGAAAUUUGAAAUUUAAAAGUAAAAUAAUUUAAAUUUAACGAAAUUUAAAAAUUAAAAUUUAAAUUUUUAAAAUAUUUAAAAAUUAAAAUUUAUAUUGAAAUCUUAUUUAACAAAAAAAAAUUUAAAAUUAAAAUUUGAAAUUUGAAAUUUAAUAUUUAAAAAUUAACAAUUGAAAUUUAAAAUUUUUAAAAUUUUAAAUUAAUAUGUAAAAUCUUAAAAUUUAGAAAUUUAAAAUUUAAAAUUAAACAUUAAAAUUUAAAAAAUUUAGAAUUUUAGAUUAUUUUUUAUUAAAAAAAUAAAUUUAAAAUUAAAGUUUAAAAUUUGAAAUUGAAAUUUAAAUUUGAACAAUUUAAAUUUAAAUUGAAAAUUUGAAAUUUGAAAUUUGAAAUUUGAAAUUUAAAUUCUGAAAUUUGAAAUUUGAAAUUUGAAAUUUGAAAUUUAAAGUUUGAAAUUUAAAAUUUAAAUUUAAAAUUUUAAAUGUGAUAUUUCAAAUUUCAAAUUUUAAAUUUUAAAUUUUAAAUCUAUGUUGAAAUUUAAAAUCUAUGUUGAAAUUUAAAAUUUUAUGUUGAAAUUUAAAAGUUAGAACUUGAUGCAUUUUUUGAAUUAGGGAGCUCAAGAAUGGUGGAAUUUUUUUCCUUCGGUUAGAGUGGAUUAUACUUUUACUCCAUUUUUUGGAGUAUAGUUUAACUAUACUCCAAAAAUUACGUUACUUUUUUUCCUUCCAAACGCUUCAUAGGAUAUUUUUCCUACCGCCGUAGCAUAGUUUAACUAUACUACGUUUUCAGGAGUAUCCAAACGGGGCCUUAGUUGCUGUUUGCUCUGCAGGAUGAGGCACCAGAUCUUGUAAAUCCCCUCAUUGAAUCAUUUGUGAAGCGGCAUGCAAAUGCAAAACAUGGCAUCUUUACCUUCUGAAAGUACUGAAAAAUUUUUGUUACAGAAUGCUGUUCUUAUUGAGAAAAACUAUUCUCAUUCUACCAUUUUUCAUUUAGAUAUCUAAAACUAAGAGGAAAAAAAAUAAAAAAGAAGCUAAUCAUGUGAUAUUGAAAUUUGGCCUGAUCUUUCACAUGUUAAUAGAUAUUCUUUUGUUAUUGAUUGAAAUAUAUUUUUUAGAUCUCUCUCCAGUUACAUAUCAUUUGAAGAUGGAUCAAUUAAUGUUUUUUUUUUGCCCUUAGAAGGGGCAGUGAUAUUAAUGAAUCAGGAGGUGUGAUCAAGUUAAAAUUGUAGAGUUGGCCAGAUUUAAUAUUCCUGCUCUUUCAAUAAUAAUGUCUUUUGAGAAAAAAAAUCAAUCAAGCUAAAUAAGAAUUCUAAAGUUUCAACUAGUUGUAAACUACAAAUUAUUCCACCAAUUUACUUUAGUUUUGCAGAAAAUGAUUUAGNUCAAGCUAAAUAAGAAGUCUAAAGUUUCAACUAGUUAUAAACUACAAAUUAUUCCACCAAUUUACUUUAGUUUUGCAGAAAAUGAUUUAGAGGCCAUCACAUUCUAAUGAAACUUCCUCAAAUCAAAUAACAUGUUAGUUAGGGAUUUAUAUAAGAAAGUUGAAGGAGAGGUGAGUAUAUGCUUUGUUAUUUUUAUUCAUUUUAAUUAAUCUGAUUUCAGUUACUAUAUUUGGAGGUGAUGAUUUUAGUUACUUCUUUUUCUUUUUGGAGAGAAAGCUAGCAUAUUUUUUUAUACAUAUAAGAAAGAAACUUAGCUAAAAAUACAAUGCAAUCAGGUUCCAAACUUGGAACCUCGAAUAUUAAUAAUCAAGUCUUUAGCCAACUGUGCUAAGUACAAUCGGCUAUUUCAGUAAUUGUCAAAUGCUGAAAGGCCACUAGUGUGGAUGUCAAUUGGUACGGAUAUCCAAAAUUUUAUCCGAACCCGACUCUGAAAGAGAUAGCGGAUUUAUCCGAUGCUGAAUGAAUAAAGUUUCAGAUACGGGUAUAAAGAAAUGAAAACUAGCCAGAUUUGGAUUCAGAUGUAGAUUUUGUUCCUAUCAGAACCAAACACAUCACAUCUACCAUUAAAAUUGUCAAAUUUGAGACUUGUUGAUCACUAGCCAAAUGAUGCCAAAAAAUUAUAAAAUUUAAUUUCCAAAUACUUUUAAUAGUGUAGAUCAAGUCUAACGGCGCCAAUCGUCGAUUUGGAAGCCGCAUCAUUGGAAACAACUUGGUAGCACAGAGGCCUCCGUGCUACCAAUAGUAUACCAGCCUAGCGCUCUCUCUCUCUCUCUCUCUCUCUCUAUAUAUAUAUAUAUAUAUAUAUUUAUUUAUUUAUUUAUUUAUUUAUUUAUUUAUAUGUUUGAUAUUCUAUUUGCAAAAAAAAAAAAGAUUUAAAUAUAAUAUCUUUUGAAAUAUAGUAAAGAGAAAUAACUAUUUCGGAUGUAGGUUUUCGUGUUUGGGUUCGGAUUUCAGGUUUAUGGUCAGGUUCGAGUUUGGAUAUGAAUUUUCAAAAUCCAUCGGGUUUGGAUUUGGAUUCGAGUUUGGGUUUUAAAAAACCCGCCCCAAAUCAUCCGAGCCGUUGAAAUCCCUAGAUUAGUGGCUAUUUGAUGAGUAAUCUCCAUAGAUUUUGACAUAUAUGCAUGGCUAGGGUGGGCACCCGUUUGUUCGAUUCGGCUUUCGCAAUUUCUUUCAGAAAAAAAUCAAACCGAACCAAAUUAGAGGCAUAAAGCGAAAUGAAUGGAACCAAAGCAAACCAAAAUAAUUCGGCCGGUUCGCUUCGGUUUAGUUUAUUUAGUUUUAGUAAAAUAUUUUUAUUUAGUUUAAAUCUUUUUAAACUAAGAUAUAAUUAUGAUUAAUUUUAUGUUGAAAAUCAUUAAUCUAAAAUAAUAAUAAUAAUUAAUAUCUUUAAUUAUUUGAUUAUUAUUUAAAAUUAAUACUUUUUUUAAAAAAAUUUAAGUUUAAUAUAUAUUGAAUUACUAAAAUUUUAAUUUACUUUUUUUGCAUUUAGACCCCUGGCAAAUUUUUAUUUUAAAAAUAGCCCAGUCAAAAUUUAAUUUGCAAAAAUGGCCCUGGGUCUGCCACGCAGGCGCCACGUCAGCGCCACGUAGGCAGGACGGGGCCUGUGUGUUAAGUUGAAUACGGUAAACCAUUCACCGUGUUCAAACACAGUGAAUGGUUCACCGUAUUUAGUACAUAUUUUUUAUAUAUUGAAAAGAGGAAUAAGGAAUAGGAAUGUCAAUAGGUAUGAAUAUCCGAAAUAUUAUCCGAAUUCAAACCCGAAUAAAUUAUAUAUAUAUAUAUAAUUUAUUUUUAUUUAUUUAUACAAUAUAUAAAAUAUUUAAUAAUUUUUAUUCCUUAAAUCUUCAUCCAAUCCAGCGGAUUUUAAAAAUCUAUACCGUUGGAUGAAGAUCUAAAGAAUAAAAAUUAUUAAAUAUUUUAUAUAUUGUAUAAAUAAACAAAAAUAAAUUACGUAUAUAUAUAAUUUAUUCGGGUUUGGAUUCGGAUAAUAUUUCGGAUAUCCAUACCUAUUGACAUCCCUACUCCUUAUUCCACUUUUCAAUAUACAAAAAAGCGUGUGAAUGGUUCACCGUGUUUAACUUAAUACCCUGGCCCCAGCCCUGCCUGCGUGGCGCUAAUGUGGCACCUGUGUGGCAGGGACAUGGCCAUUUUUGCAAUUUUAAUUUUGAUAGGGCUAUUUUUAAAAUAAAAAUUGCUUAGAGGGCUAUUUGCAAAUAAAGCCCUUUAUUCGGUUUAUUUGGUUUUAUUGAUUUUUAAUUCUUAGAGCAUAACCAAACCAAAUUAUAUAUGUAAAAUUGAACUGAACCGACGUACGAUUAUAGCUGCAUUUGACUCGAGCUUUUGGGCUUUAUUAUUUUUUCUCCUUAAGUUGGAUGAUCAAUUUUUUAGAUUUCCCUUUUUUUUGGGGCGGUAAAUGCAUGUAGGCUUCUGCAAAAAUAAUGAAUUACAAAUAUAUCCCUACAAAAUUCAACUUCAUAUAUUGUCCUCGCAAAAGUUAUAAUGUUUUCAAAUAUAUCCCUCUGGUUUGUUAUUGUUAUAGAAUUGUUUAUAUUUUUAAUAAAAUAUCGAUUUUGCCAUCACAAAUAUAUCCUUCCAAAAGUCACAACAGUAUAAUAUAAGAAGAGCAAAAAUAUCAAGUUAUCUAAUAAACUAAUCAGGGUUAAGUAUUUAAUCUAUAGUUAACUAAAGUUUUCUAACGGAUUCUAACGAUAGAGAUAUAUUUGAAAAUAUUAGAACUUUUAUAGAAACAAUAUAUGAAAGUUGAAUUUUGUAUAGAUAUAUUUAUAAUUCACUGUGUUCGCAGGUACAUAUAUGAAAUUAACCCCUUUUUUAUUAUAGGUUUGAUAAUAUCUCUAUAUAUUUGGGCUUUUAUAGCUGUAAAUUUUUGUACACUAGAGUUAAUUUUUUUUGUUAGCCCCUAUGUUCAAAUAGAGGCUUUUUUUGCAAAUAGCCCCCUGACAAAUUUUAUUUGUAAAAAUAGCCCCGUCCAAAAAUUAUUUGCAAAAAUGGCCCUGCCCCUGCCACGCAAGCGCCACGUCAGCGCCACGCGGGCAGGGCGGGCCCAGGUGUUUAAGUUGAACACGGUGAACCAUUCACCGUGUUCAAUACAAAAUUUUUGUAUUGGACACGGUGAAUCAUUCACCGUGUCCAAUACAAAUACCCCAACAAUGACUAAGUUGGAGGUAUUUGUAUUAGACACGGUGAACCAUUCACCGUGUCCAAUUAUUUGUAUUGGACACGGUGAAUGGUUCACCGUGUCCAAUACAAAUAUUUCGACCUUAGCUAUUUUGUAUUGGACACGGUGAAUCAUUCAUCGUGUCCAAUACAAAAACUUUGUAUUGAACACGGUGAAUGGUUCACCGUGUUCAACUUAACCAUCUGGCCCAGCCCCGCCCGCGUGGCGCGGACGUGGCGCUUGCGUGGCGAGACCAGGGCCAUUUUUGCAAAUAAAUUUUUGACAGGGCCAAUUUAAAAAAAAAAUUUUGUAAGGGGGUUAUUUGCAAAAAAAGCCCUUCAAAUAGUACUCGUGUUGUACUAGUGUUGUUUGCACAAGCCUUAAUUAAUAAAAUUGCCUGCAGGGACUUAAUACUCUCAUUUCAAACCCCAACUUGGAAUCUUAACGAGGAAAUUACUUGCUAGACCCGGUGCACCGCGUUUUUGAUAAUUUAACAAUAGACCACCUUGUUAUAUGCUGGUUGAUUCUAGCGUGUUGUCUGGAGCUAGCUCUGGUAGUGAACUUAGUUGCAAUCUUGGUAAUGUGAAGCAGUUAGAUUUCGAAGUUGGAACUUCGUGUACCAACUAUCAGCCCUUUUGCCAUUUGUGCUAAGAACUGUUGAUGAUUAUUGGGUAAGGAUGUGUGACUAAAUAACAGCUCAAGAAACUUUCUGUAUUAGCUCUUUGGUAAGAAUAAUUUUAGCAGUUAUGUACUUAGGCUUCUUUUGAGAUUGCAAGAAAAUUGCGUUACGUACGGCGAGAAAGAUACCAUGCUUGUUUUCGUACGUAAUAUUGUAUAUUGCGAUGAGUCAUUGGAGAACGCGGAAGUAUAUCCCUAUACACUUUUAUCCCAUCGUCAAAUGGGGUCUCAAUACCAAACUAAGCCUUAAAAGAGAUUGAUUGCAUUAAAUGCACAUAAUUAUAUUACAGUAGUACAUUGUAUGCAUAUGGGAUCUUGUCACAUUAUAUAUAUGUUAGAAAAUAAAACUAUUCACUAUGUAAAUUUACUCUUUUUAUUAGCUACAUUUCAAACGAUUGGGCAUUUCUCCUGCUGCACGCGAAUAAUAACCACAAUGCAUCAAACAAGAAUUAAUUUUGGACUAAUCUCAUCCAGUUUAACAUAAAAUGUAAUUAGCGAAGUGGCCAAACAAAUAACCCUUACCAAAACUAUUCUCCACCUACAUGUAACAAACAAUUUUUAAUAGGUUACAAACAGAUCGAAUAAGUUAUCUUUUAUGUACUUUAGCAUCAUAUAAUUCCAUUAUUUUUUUCUUAAUUUCCAUCGAUCUAAUUCUUCUUUUUUCUCUAUGCCACUUCUUCACUUGAGCAUUCUAAUUUAGCAAUUCCACAAUGUGGUCAAUAAUGACCACUCCAUAUAUAGCUCUCCAAAACAAACAUUUACAUAUCUAAGUUUAUGUGGCUACUAGUUUAGAAAAUUAAAAAAAAACUAGAAAAAGCCGACAAAAAUAGCCUGGUGAUGCCUGCGACUGCAAAAGCUAUUUUACUUCUCGACUAUAUAUAUUUAUUUUUCUUUUACAGAUUUGUAUAACCUUUCGCUCUUGCCUUUAAAGCUUUGCAUGACUUCAUGUGUGAGUGCAGUUUCUCUGGGUUGAACGGUUUCCCGCAUUGCCUGCAGAUUAUAGAACGAAAAAAACAUCAUAAUAUUUAGGGACUUUUGAUUGUAUACAUAAAAAUUAUAGAGACCGUCUCAACUAUUAGCCAUUUUGAACUAAACAAGCAAAUUCUUUUUAAUAUUACAUCGCAACUUUUGCUUAUUUUGAUUUAUUUACUUCUAGUAACUAAUACAUUCAAUUAAACUUGAGUUAAUGGAUCUAUUUAAGAAAAUUAAUCAACAGCUAUGAACUAAGUAGGUCCAAUCCAGAAAAUAACGGGAUCGCGACGUAAGAACAGUGAUGAAAAAUCUGGUCUGAUUAUUUUGUUCGAAAUAAAAUUUAGGUUUGGCUCCGAACAUGAUAUUAUACGACAAAGUGAGUGAUCAAUCAUUCCAAGUCCUAAUAAUAUUUAAAAAAAUAUGAAAAGUCAAUUUUUACUAAUUUAUUUGCUCAUAUUUAAAUAAGCUAUUUAAAAAUGUAAUUCAUAAUAUCAAAGGUUGUAAUAUAUGACUUUAGUAUACAAAAUUUUGUUCAAAUUGUGAAUUAUAGAUAUUUCUUUUUUCUUCUUUCUAAGUUUACAUAAAAAAAUCAAGUUGAACUUGGUUUCAGUAGGAUGAUAUAAUUUUGAAUUCGGUUCGUGUUCAAACUAUUUGCCGAAAAGAAAUACAGGGAAGCUUUUAUUGAUCAAGAAUUGAAGUUACAAUAGCUGGAGCCUCAAGAGUUUUAAUUUGAUCAGGUUAUUCGCUGUGACUUAAGCUCUAUUAAGUUCGCUAAACUUAGAUGGACUAGACAUGAUUGAUCUUUGGCUCAAAACUGAGGAAGUUCAAGGAUAUAAGAUUUUGGCGUAAAUCUUUAUGCAGCCAAAAUGUCAGGAAAGCAAGCAACUAUUAAAGCUAUCAAAGCUACUGCUAAAACUAUCGAAGGUAUUGCUCAACCUUUGAUUCGAAUAACAAAACUAAACUACUCUACUUUCGAUCGAAAGACGGAAAAUACCACUGCUCUAAAAUUGCCUCAAUAGAUUGAGGCCCCAACUUUCGCCGACGAAGCUGAAAAAGAUGCCUCGUCGCAUGAAAUGUCUCCUUCGACUCCUGCGCAUCCACCAUACUUGGUUCAUGUCGUGCGGUUAGGUCACUCGCAACUCGGAGGCAAAUUAUCUUAAACCUUGACAGUUCUUCUCGGCCUUAAAACUCUACGCGCUUUGCUUCGGAUUUAACUAACAACCACAUGUUGCUACCUGGCCAAAGAUGAUGCAACUUCCUCGAUCUAAUGGGUACUUUUUCAGCACCCAACCAACCUUCAGGCUUGCUUAAUCUUUUUUCUCCAAAUCAAAUUAAUAGUGAGGUUAAUUCUUAGUUUUCCCUGGAGACUUGACUUGUCUGCCGAAACCUCCGUACAUCGACGCUUCGUACAAAAAUUCUUCUCGCCACAUGCGAAUGAUCUUCUUUCCUUCCUUUCCUCUUUGGCCAGUAUGCUCACCAUUAAUGAGACUUGAGCCAGUAAAGAAUCUUUAUCUUGUACCAUAUAUAUAUCCUCUUUCUCCCUGAAAUGCCUCUCAUAGCGAUCGAGCACCCUACUGGCCUAGUUAGAAUGGUCAUUGGAGAUUUUCUAGUCCCUCAGUCUGGUAGGGAUCGCGACAUAGCGGUUCCACUAUCGCCUUCUAUUCCUACUACCCUUAUUGAAUCGAAGGUUAUCGGCCUAACAAUUUCCACAUUGAAAGUUUCCAGAUUGAUUGUCCUGAUAGCGAAACCCCUCGUUGAGAACUUAUAUUGAUCAAGGGUUGAAGUUACAAUAGGUAGAGCCUCAAGCAUGCAUUUCAAGCAUUUCAACUGGCUGUGUCAUGACCUUUAUUAAAUACGCAACGUUCGACUGCUUGACUCAGAUCGAACUUGGAUGGACGGUACUCGAUCGAUCUUCGGCUCGUAACUAUAUAAGGAACUCCAAAGACUAAAAUUUCGACAUAAAUCUCCCAAUGGCCAAAAUGUCAGGAAAGUAGGCAACUACCGAAGACACUACUACCUUCGACCGGAAUAAGAAAACUAAACUACUCUACUUUUGGUGAAAAUAUGGAUAGUACUAUUGCUUUAAAAUCGCCUGGAUCAAUAGAUUGAUAUUGUGUAAGAAGAGUUUCUUUUUAUGAUCAUCUGCAUAACAUAUAUUUAUAUCCUCCAUAGUCUGAACCCUAAUCCGACUUUUCUAAUAAGCACGAAUCUGUACUAGAAAGAGAAUCGUGAUAAUUUCAAUCGAAUCUCCAAAAGAUACGGGACGUUACCUCUUUCUAAAAUUUUAACGGACCAUAUGAGACGACUAACAUAUCAAGCUAACGCAAACAAAAGUUGGAGUUCGAGUAACACUGAACAAUCGAUGUAAAUAACAUCAGCUAUUGUCCGACCUGAUUUUGAUUCAGAGGAUUCUUUUUGAGUCCUAAUUAAAUAGGGCCGUUACCUAACCAAACAUUCAUAGAUCCAAGAUAACUUAAAUCAUGAAAAAAGAAACAAACAAACAAACAAACAAACAAAAAUUAUGUUAGCUAAUCAAAAAAAGUUAAAGGAGUCUAUUUUAAUGUGGCGUAGAGUUAAGGGAACAAUAAGUUAACAUUGUUUUUUUUUCGCUUACAAUGCGACAUAUUUGUUUACUAGUGAACUAUAUGCAUUUAGUUCUAUCAAUAUCGACUCGAGACAAAAAUGGCUAGGGACUUUGCACCUAAUCCAAUUGUAUAUUCAUUAACAUAAUAAUAUAUAUAAAUGAAUUAAGAACAUAUAUGGUUGUAGAAAUAUCUUAUUCAGUAUUUUUUUUUUUUAUUUAUCCAAAAAAUAUAUAGUACUUGAUAGAUGAGGAGUGUGUGAUGAAGCGUCUACACGAUACCAAGAUCUUUUUAAGAAGAAAAAAUUAAAAUCCUAAUUGGCUAAUUUUAAUCAUAGAAUAAACUUUUUAUGCCAAAAAAAUCUAUUAUUAAAUAUUUAAUUCUAACAUCCAAAUAGAGACAAAAUUUAAUUGUAACAUAUGCAUGAGAUCCUUUUUGUGAACUUUGUUAAGCAAACAAUGACAAAACAUAUAGAAUAUGUGCAAGAUGUAGAUUUGCUAACAAACACCAACAGGGCCCAGUUCCAUGGGUCAACAUAAUAAGUUGCACUUAAAAAGGGUUUUAAGUACUUCUAAUUAAAAAAUUUGUCUUAAGCUAUGUCCAAUUAAUGUGCAUGAUCAGCAACUACAUCUAACCUUACGAAAGCAUGAUAUAAAAUUCGAUCAAUCUAAUUAUUAUAAUAAUAUUUGACUUUAGAACUUUGUUUUUUUUUUAAACAACUAAUUUUAAAUGAAUUCACGGAUACCAAAACAUGUAGGUUUGAGUCAAGUAAUAUAUAUUAGUACUUUGCUUAUGUGGCUAUUCUCCCUUAAUCUAUAAAUAAAUAAAUAAAUAUAGUUUGAUAGUUUGUGCAGGUCUAUGUUGAUAAUUAUGCUUCUCAUUCAGGAGUAAUUUGUGAAUAUACCAACUAUAAUUAGUUCAUAAGAACCCCUAAAAUCUUAGAAAUUUAUGUUCACCUUUUCUAUUUUUAAUGCUACUGUAGGAAAGUGUAUAUAUAUAUAUAUAUGUUCUUGCAUAUUAUUUUAUAUAACUUUAUAACACGAAAAAGAAAAUUCUAGUUAUCACAAUUAAACACAAAAAAACCUAUUUCCAAUCCUACUACUAUUUUAGAUGUUAGGAAAUAAAAAAAUUGAUUUUUCUUUUGUUUUGAGAUUAUGAAAUACGAGCGAUCAAAACAAUUGUAGAAUUUAUCAGUAAUUUCGAUUAAGAAAAGAAAGUUGGCAAAUUAGGCAGUAAAACACGGUCGUCAUUCCGAAUAAAUCCAAAAUAUUUAAAAAAUUAACAAAUUAGGUAAUAAAAUUAAACUUCACUAAGCAAGUUGUUAUUUAAUUAGCAUCUAAACAUAUGAAUUGAGCUCCUAUGCUUUUAAAAGUACCAAGUUAUUGGUGCUUGUAGAUUUUUAGCCAUUGGAUUAAGAGAUAUGCGGUUAGGAUGAUGUGGGCCCUAUAGGAUUGAGUGGGUGGUUGGUUGAAUAGUAUAAUCUAAUGGUUGAAAAUGAUCCGAGGAGUAGAUCUAACGGUAAAAAACUUACAAACACUAAGUGCUUGGUGCUUUUACAAGCACCAUAGCUGGACUCCUAAACAUAUAUCCAAUUUACGACUCAAAAAUUAUUUUAAAAUUUUUAGAUUAAGAAAAAUCUCCUAAUUUGCUUAAUAAAUUUUAUAUAAUUUUAUUACAUUACUUAUAAAUAAUUUUACUUACAAAUUCAUUUUCAUAAAUUUAUAGCUCAAUUCAACAAUUAUUCUAAAUGGCUAGAUCUAUUUAAUAUACCGACAAAAUAUAAGGAAAUAAUUAAUAUAAUAAUAAUUUUUUGAAAAGCGCUAAAGGGUAAGAAGGCUUUUUAUAAGAGUGUUGCUGCAGGUACUCUAGAAUGUAUCUUACAAUACUAUUGAUGGUUUAUCAAUAUUAUAUUUAUUAUAUUAUAUCCUAUGUAUUAAUUUCUAAAUCCAAAACAUCAUAAUUUAAUCUAAGCAUCAUCUAUGUAUUAUUAUGCCCUCUAAUUCCUUCAAAUGUAUAAACCUACACAUCUAUCUAUACAUCUAUAUAAAAGCUCAAUUCCUAAUGCUGGUAUGAAGAUCUUUUUUCUAUUUUGGACUAAGUAGAAUCUAAGCUUUAACCAAAACUAUUAUAUAUAAUAUAUAUAUAUAUAUAUAUAUAUAUAUUAUAUAUAUAUAUAUAAUAUAUAAUAUAUAUCUAGUCAGUGCACGUGCGUUGGCACGUAUAGAUUUUUUUAAUAUAAUUAAAUAAAUUAAUAAAUUAGUGAAUAAAUAAUAUUAUAUUAAAUAGUAAUGUCAGAUUUAAAAAAUUAUAAAAUAUUACAAACUAGAACAAAAUACUGGAUAGAAAAUAUAGUAAAAUAAAACUGUAAAUUUGAACAUCCAUACAUGAAAAUAGUUUAGAUUAAAUGAAGUAAAAAAAGAGAGUUAAAUUCAUUCUAUUUGUUGCUUAGUUGUCGUCAUUGAUGAUCAUUUUUUUUUUAAAGCGAGAAAACUUUGACUCGGUGAUAUUCAUCACUGAAGCUUCGUCAUCGUCUUCAAGAAUUUUUUAUGAGUAUAAUUUUAGAAAAAAAAUCUUACUUCUUAUUGAUUCGAAUUUAUAUUUUCAUUUUGCUAUAUUUUCUAUAUAUAAUACUUAUGUGUAUUUUGUUAAAGUUUGUAAUAUUUUAUAUGGGUACCUCUCAAUUGAGUUAUGAAAUUUUGUUAGAAAGAAAAAAACAACUAUUAGUUGAACAAAAUAAAACUUUCGAUUGUAUUCCUAGAAAUAUUAAUGGUCAGAUGUAAUCAAUUGUUGUUACAAAUAAAUGUCAAGUAUAAAGCAAAAGUUUUAUUAAAAUAACAAGAUAAAAGUGAUAAUUAAUUAAGGCUAAAUUACAGAAAAUUCCUAUCAAAAUUUGAUUUUCACAUUCCCCCUGUCAUUUAAAAACCUACACUUUGCCCUUUUGUAAAAUGAAAAAUUCACUUCACCCCUGCCGUUAGUGAUCGUUAGGUUCUGUUUAUAAAAUAUUAUUAUAUAUAUUUUUAUGUCAAAAAUGCCCUCAGCCUUCUCUCCUGUUGCCAAAAAUGAUGAGGGCAAAAUGGUUAUUUUGUAUCACAGUUUACACCAUACCUCUUAUGACUAUUUUUAUUUUACAACGGAGCAAAGUGUAAGUUUUAAAUGACAGGGAAAAAGUAAAAAAUCGGAUUUUGACAGGGAGGUUUUAUAUAAUUUAGCCAUUAAUUAAUAUUUAUAUAAUAUUUUAGAGAAACUUAAUUUACAAAGUGAAAGCAAGUUACUAUGCAACUAAUUCAUCAAAUCAUCGAAAAAUAUGAAAGUAAAUUAAAAAAGAUUACUACAAGUACAAUUUAUUCGUAUACAAUUCACGUCAAAUAUAAGUAAAUAAUCAUUUUAAAAAAUUCAAAAAAGUCAUAUUAACAAAAAAAAUUUAAACAAAUAAUUUUACAAAACUACUGUUCAGUAAGUGUAUGAAGACCAAUUAAAUAAACAUCACUCAAAUUGAUUGAAAUUCACAAUAAUAUUUAGAAAUUAUUUUUCUAAUAGUUCUUUUCUCUUCAAAUUAAAGUUCUAAUUAAUGUCAUUGCCCAUGGCAACUAAAUAAUAAAAAAAAAAAUAGAGAAAUAAUAAAAAUAAAUAAUUUACAAAUAUUUAAUAAUUAUUAAUUGCAUUUAUUUAAAGUGUACACUUUUUUAUUCAACCUCUUUAUUUUUUUAAGAAAUCUCUUUCUUUCUUGGGACAAAAUAAUAUCUCCUCAAUCUCUUCGUUUCUUAAAGAAUAUCCUCGUUUUUUUAGAGAAGAUACAUUUUCGCCAAAACUUUAACUCCUGUUUCUUGGAGUUUUUUCAUAUCUUGGAGAAGAUACAUCUCGAUUCUUCACCACUUUAUCGGUGCCAAGACGAUGAAGAAAUCAAAUAUUAAAUUUUUUAUUUCUUUAUUAAUUAAAAAAGUUCUAAUAUUUUUUUGUAGAAGAAAAUAUUUAAACCUCGUCAUUUCUCCUAUAUUGAAAGAUAAAAGGAUUGACAUAUUUUUUUUUUUCUCUACUAAUUGAAGAAACUAUAAACUAUUCAUUUCUAUGAGCACAUACAUUUCUUGGCACUACCGGAAGAAUAAAGGUUGUUGAGCCAUAUAUAUAAAGCACAAUCAUUCUAAUUUAUAAAUUUAAAAUACAAUUAAAACCUCUAUAAUAUGUAUUAUUAGAAUAAACUAUUUAUAAAAAAUUUAUUAAAAAAUUAUUUUAAAAUUUAAAAUUAAUAAUAAAUUAUCUACUAUUUUUUUAAUAUUGGCUAUAGAGAAUAUCAUACACAAGAUGAAUAUUCUUUUCAAUAAAUCUUUUACUUCCUAUCAAUAAUAGAGGAUGGAAAAAUGUCCACAACAUCAAUCAUGAGCUAAUAAACUUUAUCUAUCAGAAUUUAAAUUUAAAUCCAAACAAUCAAACAAAUUAUGUUUAUCUAUUUUGUGAUUUUGCAUUUAAAUUUUACAUCACUGAUUUUUAAAGGUUAACUCUGGUACACUACAUUUUUGUUUGUAGUUCCUCAACGAAUUUCGCAAUGUAAUUUAUGAGUUUAUUGAACAAAAUCAUAAUAUAUUUUGUAUAACAAGAGAAGGAAAAAUGUAUUUAAAUUUAAGUCCAAACAAUUCAAAAAAUUAUAUUUAUCUAUUAUAUGAUUUCACAUAUUUAAACUUUGCUUUAUUAAUUUUCAGAAAUGAACUUACUACACUAUAUUUUUUCUCUUUCAUGAUCAAAUUUGUCUUUUAAUUUAAAUUUUCUUGUAAAAGUAAAAUUAAGGUUAUAUUUUUAACCUUAAGACAAUAAUUGAAGUUUAGUGUUUUGUAAAAUUUUAUAAAUAUCUAAUUUAAUAUAAUUUUCUAUAUUAUGGUUGACCUGGAACUUAGAGGGGUCGCGGAUAGGACCAAUAUAACACGAUAAAUACUCGACCGCCGUAGAAUCCACCACGUCGAACUCGAGCACACUCACCCGCUAUCGGAUCCACCAACACAAUGUUGAGUAACACUCUCCUCUUACAGAAAAUCCACCUAAGAGAUAGGACGAAGAAGAAAUCUUAUUCUCAAAUAAAAGUGAAACUUCAACUUAACUUAACUUGCUUUCAUUAUAAAAUCAUUACUUAUUUAUAGGCUCUCAAAUAACCCUUUAUCUUCUCUAUACAUUAAUCACCUUUAAUUUAUGAAAAAAAUAAAUACACUUUUAGGAAUACUAAAAGACACACACAAUUCUAGACUAUCAUAACUCAUUUUAAGAAAACAAAAAGACAAUUAUAGAAAAACAAAGGAACACUUAUUUCAAAACGAACAUUUAUUAGCAAUUAAUGACUUCAUCAUCAACUUAGGAACGGUGUCAAUUGUGAUUUAUAAUUUAAUUAUACACCAUUGUAAUGAAUAUCUAGAUAGUAGUUAGUUGACUUUUAUUUUUUAUUUUCUAAAUAAAUAUAUUUUUUGGAAAAAGAAAACUCCAAACAAUUCAACAAAUAAUAUUAUCUGUUUUAUGAUUUGCAUAUUUAAACUUUGUUUAAUAGUUUUAAGAAAUUAACUUUACUACACUAUAUUUUUUUUCACCUUCAUCAUCAUAAUUCGUCAUUUAAUUUAAAAUUUUGUUGGUACAAAAGUGUAAUUGAAGGUUAUAUAGUUAAGACACUAAUUGAAGUUUAGUAUUUUUGUAAAAUUUUAAAUAUUUUUUAAAAUGAUAUAGAGAAUUUAAUGAAAAAUAAGAAAUUGCUCUAAUUUAAAAUAAUUUUCAACAUUAUAGUUAUUUAUAAGUUAAUUAUAUAACAUUAAUAAUUAUACUCAAAUAAUAAUUAGUUGACUAUAAGUUUUUUAGAAUUUUGAGAAUAAAUGAAUUUUAGUUAUGAAAGAGAGAAAAAGUACUGCUGUUCUUAAAAAAAUUUGAAAGUUUUGUGUACUUAAUUUUUUUUUGAAAAGUUCUGGGCAUAAUAAUAAAUUUUAAUUCUUGUUAAUAGUGGCGUUCAUCUAAUCAUAUUAAGUUUUAAAAUUUUAUAUUAUUAUUUAUAAUUUAAUUAUAUAAAUUUAUUGUUAAUAUUCACUAAUAAUAAAUUACUAAGAUAUUUAUUGUUAAUAUUCAUACAAAUAAAUUACCAAGAUACCCUUGGUAGGACGGGGUGAGGAAAACCACCAAAUAUAUUUGUUUAUAGUUAAUAUCAAGAUAUAUGGAGUAGGGCUACUACUCUUAUGAGUAUUGAGCACUUCGUACUCAUAAGUUUUUUCAAUGAUAGGGCUUCCAAAUCGACGACCCACUACGUUAAAUAUAAACUAGAGUAUUUGAAACUUCUAAAAAAUAAAUUUCAUAAUUUUUCGAAAUCAUAAUAAAGUCCAUCAAACGGGCAUAAAUGAACGGUCAAAAUCAAACGACAUCCUAAAAAUGAAUGAUCGAUCAUUCAAUUUAAGAUCGGAGUUAUUGAUCUUUAUCUAGGCAGUGAAUAGAAUUUUCCAUCAAAAAUUCAACUUAUUCCAAUUCCUUUACGCCGUCAAACUAGCAAGUCUCUCAUACCGCCGUUAAAAAUUGUCAAUUUUGUGAGCUUUUGAUCGUAAGUAAAUGAUAUCGAAAAAUUAUGAAUUUUGAUAUCUAAAGUUUUAAUGCUCUAGAUAAUGUUUAACGGUAUGGAUCGUCGAUUCGGAGCUUUAUCAUCGAAAACAACUUAUAAUUACGAGGCGAUCGUACUCAUAAGAGUAUAGUAGCCGGACUCUAUAUAUAUUAUAUAAUUAUGCAAAUUUUUGCCAUUCUCCAUUCUUACGGCUCUCUUUCUUUCUCUUUUCAUCUCCCCGCCAUAUAUUUUUAUAGAGUUAAUUGCAUGCAGAUUCCCAUGAAAAUAUAGUGAAUUGCAAAUUAUUUCUAUAAAGUUCAACUUUCAUAGUUAUCCUAUAAAAGUCCUAAUGUUUUCAGAUAUAUCCCUGCUGUUAGAAUUCGUUAGAAAGUUUAAUUAACUAUAGGUUAAUAUAUCCACCAGUUAAUUUUUUAUAUUUUUACCUUUUAUAUAUAUACUGUUAUAACUUUUGGAGAGACAUAUUUGUGAUCGCAAAAUUGAAAAUAUGAACAGUUUUCUAACGGUUCUCUAAUAAUAAAUCAGCGGAUAUAUCUAAAAAUAUUAGAAUUUCUACAGAAAUAAUUUAUGAAAUUGAACUUUACAGAAAU